CAUGCUCAUGUUUUGGUUGAUGUGGCGAUUCCUGCUGCAAGUUCUGCUCCUCCAAGUUGUCUUCCGGAUUUUCCUCCAAGUUCAAGUUCUGCUCCAAGUUCACAUUCUGCUCCAAGUUCAAGUCAUGCUGCAGGUUUGGAUUCUGCUCCAAGUUAUCAGGUUCUUGUGCCUGUUCCUCCUCAUGUUCAACAAAGCUUUGAUCAACUUCAGCUAUAUGCAUAUUGCUGCAGAGAAUAAAAAAGGAAAGAAAACAACACAUGAAAAAUAGUACAAUGCAAGAUAUUUGUUCCAAUCUGACUGUUUCUAAAGGUCAAUAAUAGCACGCUGAUAAUAGCAAAUAUUUGUGCCAACCUACCAUCCCUUGACUCGAUCCAAGGGACCAGGUUCCUCUUGACUCGAUCCAAGGCACCGAGUGCUGCUCCACGGGCGAUCCGACCCAGUUGCGACCUGUUUCAGACUUCAAGCCAAGCCGAUCUGUGAAGUCAAGCUGUUUGACGAGUUAAGACGAGCCUAAAGCCGCGCCUACCAAGUUGUUUUCUAUUUCUACAGUUGAACCCUCUUUUAGCUGCCGGGCUAAGUCGGGCAGUUCCUAUUUUUGGUAAUUUUUUUUUCUCUUUCUUCUUAUUUGAUGUAUGUAUUAAGUUAAUAUUGUUUAUUUUUUAAUAAAUAUUUUAAAGCUUUUAGAUAUUUAAGAAAAAGUUGAAGAAAAUAAAAUAAGAAAAGAAAUCUCAAAAAAAGUUGAAGUAAUAAUUUUUCUUUGAAUUUUUUUAUAUUAAAUAAUCCGAUUACGGAACCGUUACAAGAAAAACAGUAAUUUUUAUGUAUUUUCUUGAGGUGAGGAAACGUUCUUAAUUUUGUUUCAAAAGUAUUAGAGUCAAUUAAAAAUAAUUUUUAAUAAUUAACUAUUUGACAAGAUUUUUAAGGCUCAAUGGAUAAUAUGAAAUUAAGUUAGUACCAUUAUUUUAUGGGCAUUGUAAGGAUGCUAUAACUUUUCUCACACAUAACAGUACUCUCGAACUUUAUUCUAGUUUUGUAGACAUUAAAUCUACCUUUUAAAAAUACCUAAAUCAAACUUAAGAUUUCUCUUUAAAACGGGAUAAAUUCAGUUAGGUAGCUAAUCGCACUUAAACAAAAAAAAUUGACAAUAACUCCUUAAGUCACUAACGAUAAGUUCACAGAUCUAGACAUUAUGACACUUAACAUUUUAGAAUCUAUUUUGUUCGAGUAGGCCAAGACCAUUAAUUAACUUAAAACUUUAAUUAGUAUCAUUUUGAAGAUUAUCAUGAUCUUAUCACUCUAUGAUUUGCAAUUACUUUAUUUGUUUAACAAUCAUUAAUUCAUAGAAAUUAAAAAAUAUAUAUGAUAUCUUCAAAAAUCAAAUUUUAUUUUAUUUUUUUUCUUCAUAAAAAUAUAAAAUAUUAUUUUACUUAAAAGUACGAAAAUAUCCAUACAAAUUUCAAUAGUUACACAAGUUAAGAUUUUAAUGUUAUUUAAAGAUAAUUUGCAAGAUAUAGUAAUAUUUUAUUUAUUUUAUAAUAAAAUAUAAUUAAAUUGUUAAAUUAAAAACUAUAUUUAUUUAUUAGAUAAAUGAUGUGAAAAACAUUUGAAUUAGAAAAUAAAACUAAUCUAUUGAAAUCAUAAUAAAAGAACAAUAAAAAUAUAUUUUAUAUAAAACAUUUAAAAAUUCUGUUUAAAAAAAUACACAAAUUAUUUUUGAAGUUGCUAAAAUUAAUAUUAGUUUAAAAACUAAAUUUUAAAAUAUAAAAUAAUUAUAAUUUUAGGAGAAAGCAUGAUUUUAAUUUAUAUAUUAAAUAGAUAAUAUGGGUAUUAAUUGUUGAGUGGUUGAUUGAGAUUGUAUGUUCGUAAUUCUGUAUAACUAUUGGAUUUUUUUAUUCAUAAACGUAGACUGAUUGAAUUGAAUCACGUUAAAUUAUUAUUUUUUUAUUAAUUAAUUAAUUAUUUAAUUUCGCUUCUGUUGAUAUGAAUAUUCAUUUGAAUUAAAGCUUCUUUUGCUUAACAACUGGUAUUAGAGUUACCGUAAACCUAACAUUUUUCACAUAAAUGUGGCUCAAGAUUCAUAUUGCUAAGUGGACAAUAGUUCAAAAUGCUUUAAACACAUCAAAAUUCAAAACAUUUAAUAUCAUCCAAUUCUAAUCAAAUUUACAAUUUACACUCCCAAAUUUAGUGAUUUUUCUCAUAUACAAUAAAAGUACUUUAAAAGGAUUUUUCUUUAGAGUAUCCUAAUUAAGAACACUAUUUAAAACAAUAUUCUUGUACUUGUAUUAAAUGUGAGAGUUGACGGUAUUAUUAUGCAUUCCAAGACAUUGAAAGAAAUAAAUUACUUAAUAAUAACUUUAUAGAGUGUUCCUAAGGUACUUGUUAACAAAAUUCAUUUUUAAAAAGAGAUUUUGAUCCAAACCAACAAUCAAAACAAGAGAAAAAGGCUUGAAUCUUAAUGAUCAACUAAUGCUUUUAAAUGACAACAAUUUAUUUAUUGAUACAUAUAUUAAUUUUUUAUACAAAAUAAAGAGAGCAAUAAAUUACAAACCUUGGACCUCUAUAAUCAUCCCACCCCACCCUAUUUGACAUUGCAAAGCCUUAUGCAUUUCCAGAGGUUUGAGUAACAAAAAUAUAGCAGCAAAUUGAGUACAUUCCUUCACUUUCUUGAACCUCGCAUCACUUAAUUUACUCCUUAAUUCCCCCAUAAUAUACCUUUUGCAAUAAUAUAAGCGGCAGCACCAGGCAAGCCUGAUCCGAAUAAGGCCUGAUUGCUCAUGGCAUUACCCGUUUUGCAGUAGGUUGCAAAGCUCUCACAGUUGUUAAAAACCAAGUGGUAAUCACCGAAGGAUUGCUUGUCGAGAAAACAAUACGCUGUCCGAAUAACCUUGUCAGGAGGAUAAGAAUCCCAAUAACUGCAACUGCCGUUACUUUUAAAAUUAAAUGUCAAGUAGGAGACGCCAUAUUCGUAGACAUAGACUAAGCUACCGUCAAGGAAGCAAUCGAGGCAGGUUAUGAUAACUCCCAUAUUUUGAGAAGUGUAGAAACAUCUCUUGCAUUGGGGUUUACAGCUGCUUUUCUUGUAAAAUCCGAGGAAAUGAAUGACUGCAUCGUAUAUUUCUUGUUCUUCUCCAUUAUUUUUCGGGUUAGUGACCGUGGCUUUGCCCACAUAUAUGCCUGGAGUCAAAUUAAGCAAGGAAAAUUGAGAAAGUAAUAAAGAUCUGCCUGGUGUAUGGAAAAUGUUAGGGAAAAGACAAGGGUAUUUUAAAAGAAAGGAAAAAAUAUAAAAUUUCUUACCUUUAUUGAAUUAUGAGGAAAAUACAAAAGAAAAUGCGAAGAAAUUUUCUUUUUAUGCAUAUAUUUGUCAAAGAGAAAAAGAUUUAAAUCUCAAAUAAUCAGAUUAUCUUAAAAAAUUAUUUCCUAAAAAAUAAAAACAAAAAAAUUUUUCUCAAACCAAACAUAUUUGGUUUCUUUACCUAUUAUUUUCCCUCGUACCAAACAUGAUGUAAGGAACUGAAGAACUGAAAAGGGUAGAAGAAUUAAAUUUAUAUCUUCCCAAAACUAAGUCUGGUUGAACAAGUGCAACAUGUUAAAAGAAAUAAACAUGUAAUUAAACAUUAUUGCUUCUUGAAUUUGAUGAAAACAAUACAUUAAAUGCAAAUUUCCCGUUGAAAAAAAUAUAAAAAAAUAUAUAGAUAUAUACCAUGGUGAUAGUAUAUGCCUCCGCUACAAGGAGUAAAGAUAUGAUCAGCUCGUUGGAGCGAGUCUCUUCUAACAGGUUUCAUCUUCCUUUUUCAGUUCUUCUAUCUCCUCUUUAAUUGUGUCUGCUUUCGUAAUAAACGCUGCAAAUAUAUAUAGAUGGAAAGGUUACUGCAAUCAUACAAUUAAAACAGACAAUCUACGGCUUAAAAUUGGAGAAUAAAAUAAAGUAAAAAACAACUGCUUAAUAUCAAUAAUCCUAUUUUCGAAUAUUAAUAAGUGGCAGUGGAAUGCAUUAUUAUUCUAUUUGGAUGAGAAAUAAUUGUAGUGGAAAGAAUUUUUUCUUUUUUUAGAUCAAAUUCCGACUGAAUAAAAAUGGAGAAUGAAUAAAGCUAGAAGAAAAGUUUCUUAUCACAAAAAAUUUUUUUUUCUUUUGGAUUGAAUAAGUAUUCUCUGAAAUGAUGGAGCACCAAGAAAAGCAUCAAAUGAUCUUUUGAUGAUGCUUGUUUUGAGCCUUUGAUCUGUUACAAUUUGGUAUGAGAGAUUUUGAUUAAUUUCUCCUAAUCUAAAUCAAAUUUAUCACCUAUCUUUGAUUAAGCAAAACGGGAUUAAAGAAUAGUACUACUUGUCUCUUUUUUCCUUUUUUUACUAUAAAACUUGUCAAAUUUUGAAUUUUGAUUAUUAAAAUUAAAAAUUCAGUAUUCUACUAAUAGAUACACGACUGUUGGCAUACUAUUAUUAUCUCUGAUUACAACGUAGCUUAAUAUAAACCAAAAAUACAAAAAAUUUUGAAGAGGGCUAAGAACCUCAGACAUCCCAAUAAUCUCAUAAGCCCUCAGAUAUCGAUUGAUAUCGAUGUGGUCACCCUAUCUGAGGGCAUCACGUCUCACAUCCUUCUUAAUUUCCUUUUUUUUUUUUAUGAUUGCCAAAAAAAUACUCUUUUGUAUAUACGUUGACAUAUAAAUAUAUAACUAUUGGAAAUCAAGGCAGUGAAUCCAAAGCAGGUGAUGAGAAUUGCUAAUGAACAAUCCCUACGUCUAACUCUACCAAUUAGUGAUAUCCUUGGGGUUUAAUUUUGUGUUGAAAGAGAAGUUAAUAUUUAAGUCAGUUGUUGCUACAGCUUUAUACACAGGUCCAGAUCCCUUGGCUAGGCUUUGAUUUAAACAGGGAAAAAGGAAAAAAAGAAAAGAAAAAGAUUGGUAAUUCGUGAGUUCACUCCAACUUCUGCAUAAAAUUAGGUCUUUCAAAAUUGUAAUCCCCUCGAUAACUAGCAAAGAAUUGACAUAUAUAUAAAAUAUGAAAUGGUUAUUAUAGCUUUAACAAGACAAUAAUAAAUUAAAGAAUCGAUACGUUAUCUAUGGCUGGGUUUAACCUGAUCUGCACAUGGCAUUUGAAUUCUUGUAUAUGUAAUUUUAGCAUAACUUCCAAGCCUAAAUUGUCCAGAAUUGGCAUCGAUCAACAGCAAUCGUAAGUGUCAUUUCUCAUAUCUGGUCCAUUCGCCAGUUGUUCUUGGCAAUUUUAUUCUAGAUUUAGAAAACGAUAUCCAUUAUGAAUCAUGUUCAAUCAUUAUAAAAAAUUUAAAACAAACAAUUCGAAAAAGGAGUGUCCUUUUCAUGUAAAUAUGGCUUAGCAUUCAUGUUUUGUUCAGCUAAAGGACCAUAAAAAUUUUAGAACAUUUUAGCUGACAAAUUCACUGUUAAAAAAAAUUUUCUUUUCAAGAAUCACUUCACUGAAUAUUAAUUAGCUGGUGGGUGUGACGAAUUAAAUGUGACAUAUGAAUGUUUACAUAUGCUAAAUAUAUAAUUAAAAUGCAAAUAUCUUUAUGUAUGAGCUGCCUGUUAAUUAAGUAGAUUUGGUUUUUUUUCUUAUUUCAAUAAUCCAAAUCUGGUUUUAGUUAACAGUUAUUAUUCCUCUAGGGUUGUCGUUUAGAAUGUUUGAUUGAAUUAAUAUACUCUGAAAGAUUGAGCACCACGAAAAGCAUCCGAUGCUCCUUAGAUGAUGUUUGUUUUGAGCUUUGAUUUGUUUAUAAUUUGGAACCUCAAUUUAAAUUUUCCCUCACUGUAGAUACCCAAUUUGGUCCAAGCCCGGAUCAAUUGGGCCUGGUCCAAAUGGGUAAACUUAUUUUCUUUUUUUAUUUUUGUAUUUUACAUUUUUAUUUUAUUUAUAUAUAUAUUUAUUUUUUUUUCUUUUAUUUUUAUCUUAUGUAUUUAUUUUUUUUAUUUUUAUUACUAUUUAUUAAUAUAUAUAUCCUUAUUUUUUUUCUGUUAAUAUUUAUAUAUAUAUAUUUAUCUGAUUAUAUAUUAUAAUUUAUCUAUUAUUUAUAAUUUAUCUGUUAAUUUUUUGGUUUAUCGAUUAUUUAUUUAUUAAAAUUUUUUAUUAUUAUUUGAUUUUUUUAUUAUUUUUUUAUUUCUUUUUUUUCGGCUGAAGAUUGGAUUGGGAUUCAAUCAGAGUCCAUAUUGGAUUCAAUGAUUGAAUCCCGAUCCAAAGAGGAGUUGGGAUUGAUCAGAAACUCUUCUGAUCAAUCCCUAUAAAAGGACCCUCGGAUCAAAGGAAAACAGAUAGAAAAAAGAGUUAUUGGCUGAGAAAAAAAGGCAGAGAGAAGAGAUUUGAAAGCUGAAAAAGGGUUUAGAGGUGUUAGAAUAGCUUUAGGAAUCUGUGGGAAAUUUUUGGAGAUUUUUCUGUGAAUUUUUUUUUCUGGAAAAUUUUCAGAUUUCGAUUGAAUUUUUCGACGAAGGUUGAAUUUUUCGGUAACUAUUUCGGCCAAGUUUGAAGUUUUCAUCCAGCCUCCCAAUUUUCGGUAAGAAUUUUCAGAAGCCGACCAACUUUUCAGUGAACUUUCGACGAAAAACCUAGAUUUCGACGAAAAUUUCCAGAAUCCAGCGGUCAUUCAACCGGAGUUCUUCGGGUUUCUAGAGAGAAGGAAGAGAAGAGAAAAGAAGAGAGAGAGAGGAAAGAAGGCUUCUGCUGAAGAAACGAAGGAAUCAGCCUUAUAUACCCUCCUAAAAUGACGUCAUCUCUGCAUUAAGUAACCCAGAGGAUCCACUUGUUUUACCAAGAUCCGAUCCGACCCGAGCGUCAACCCGCUUUCGACCCGCAUGUGACCCGCGUCUCAAGCCGUUAGCCAAGCAAAGCCGACACCCUGAGCCGCGUCUCCGAGCCAUUUUUUCUUCCUCAAGCCGAGCCGAGCCGAGCCGCAAGCCGAGCUGUUCUCAUGUUUUUUUUAUUAUUUUAUUUAUUUAUUUAUUAUUAUUGUUAUAUCAGAAUUGUUUAACAUUUUUAUUAUUUAUUUUUAUUUAUUUUCAUUUUUAUUCUAUUUAUUUUAUUUUAUCAUUUUAUUUUUUUUAAAUAAAAUUAUUUUUGAGGAAAAGUUAAAAGUAUCAAUUUUCCUUAAGAAUAAAUUUUCAAAAAAAAAUGUUUUGAGGAAAAGUUGAAAGUAUCAAUUUUUCUCAAAAUUAAAAGUUUUCAAAAACUAUUUUUGGGGAAAAGUUGAAAGUAUCAAUUUUCCUUAAAAUAAAUUUUAAAAAAAAAAAAAGGCGUUUUGAGGAAAAGUUGAAAGUAUCAAUUUUUUCUCGAAAUUAGAAGUUUUCAAAAAAUAUUUUUUUAAGGGAAAAGUUGAAAGUAUCAAUUUUCCCUUGUACAAAAGCAAUCAUUUUUUUCUUUUUUAUUCCUUUGAAUUUUUUUAAUGUUAAAAAUCCAACGAUAGAGCCUCUGCAAGUGAAACGGUAGUUUUCUUGCAUACUCUUGAGGUGAGGGAUUUUUUCAAUUUUUGCUAAAAGUAUUAGAGUCAAUUGAGAAUAAUUUCCAAUAGUUAAUUACUUGAUAAAAUUUUAAGGCUUAUUGGAUAUACAAAAUUAAGCUGGUGCCAUCUUUUGAUGGGCGUUGUUGAGGGUGCUAUAACCUUCCUCACACGUAACCGAACUCCCGAACCCUGUUCUGGUUAGUAGACCUGAACCUAUUCUUUUAGGGACCCUUAAACUUAGGUGUUCCCUGAAAUGAUAGAUUUCUUAGGUGGCCAAUCGCACCUAGAUAAAAAAAGAUUGGUGGCAACUCCUUAAGUCAAUGUCUAGCGAUAGAUCCUCGGAUCUAGACGUUAUGACAGCUUGGCGACUCUACUGGGAAACUCCGAGAGUCAGGCUGGCAAAUAAAUUUGUGUUAUCCAAAAGCCUAAUAAAAUUGAACCUUUUGUAUAGAUUUUUUAUUCAUUCAUGUUUAUUUACUUUAUUAAUUAUGUCAUUCAUAUGCAUAUGCAUAACAUGAGCUCUAUACCCGAGCUCCGUCCCUCUAGGAGGGAGUAAAGUACCUAUUGCUUUCGUGAAGUUUAAUGCCUCCGCAGUGGCUAGCGAAAUACUCUCACUCAAAUUGAACCUUUUUCGCUUGUAGCCUGUAAUGGGUGAGGAUUAUGGUGCCUUACUAGUCUGUGAUGGACAAGGAUGUAAAGAGCAAUUUGGGAACCUUUAGACUUUGACCUUAAACCACAUAUAGUGAACCUUAGAAGUGCUUAGCCUAUAGAUAAAGCCAUUAUUCUUCCCUUUUAGAUUUGACCAGAAGCAUAGGGUUCAUUCUUCUUUUUCUGUGUGAUGUUUAAAUUUACUUAGUUAUUUAUGUAUUUAUUUAUUUUGGGUGUACUAACAUUUUCUCCCAUUCUUCUGCAUUGGUUCAUGCUCAUAUCAUACAGUUGCAUAAAGAACAUUUGCUUAAAAGACGAUCUUCAACAAAUUUUUUUCAUGGACUGCAAUGAAUGACUAGUUUGCUCUUCAUCCGUAUUAGCGCCUUGUGAGACACCCAACGAAGUAAGGGCCCAGUCAGAAAAGAUUCAACUGAAGAUAAGGGAUUGUUUACCAAUCGGAUAUGAUUCUACUCUGUCUCAAGAAACAUCUAUCCUCCUCAAACAGAACAAUCUAAAGGAUUUGCUUGAUAUCUGGAAGAAGAUGGGUCCAUCAAGACAAAAGCAGUUUUGCCAGAGACACGGUCAUAUAGCACACCUUCUAGUAGUAGUUGUUGAUGAUCAACUAAUCAGAGCUGCAGCAUAAUUUUGGGAUCCUGCAUACAAGUGUUUCAUCUUUAAUGAAGCUGAUAUGACUCCCACCAUUGAAGAAUAUUUGAUUUUAUUGGGUUUACACCUCAAGGCUCCCGACAAGAUAUAUGUCAAAAAACACAAGUCAGGAUUUCGUAAGGGUCUGGCUCAACUCAUGGGGAUAGACAAGAAAAUUGUGGAUUCUCAUACAAAAAAGAAAUAAGAACCGGUUUGCCUACCUUGAAAGUUCUUUCAUGAGUUUCUAGUACAACAUGCCAAUGAAGAACGGGGGUUAGAUAUAUUUACCUUAGCCAUAUACGGAAUGGUGAUCUUUCUAAAGGUUUUGGGUUAUAUUGAAAUAACGGUGGUGGACUUCUUCGAGAGUGUGAUCAAUGGCUGUAAUCUUUCAACGGUAAUAUUAACAGAGACUAUCAGAUCUUUGAGUUAUUAUCGUCGAAAUGGAGGGUAAUUUAUAGGUUGCAUACAGUUGUUGUACUUAUGGAUGAAAAGCCAUUUUGAAUAGGAAAAUGGUGCUUUCUUGAAACUUUAUAUCCGUAAUCGUGCUUCGAUCAAGGAAAUUCUAUGAAAGUGGGUGGUCAGAACGAAAGUCUAAAAAGGAAUGGAUAACUUUCCUACAAAAAUUGAUCAGCGUCAAUGUGAGAUGGUUGACCCCAUAGAUGAAUCGUGAGCCUAUGUUGUAUCAAUGUAAGGAUAGUACAGUGGUCCCACUUCUGGGUUUAUAGGGAGCAACAAAUUAUGCACCACUCAUAGUGAGAAGGUAGUUUGGGGCAGAACAGUUCAUUCCUAUGACUUAUGGGCUUCAUCAGUUAAAUUUCUCUCACUGUGAGCCUAAAGUAUUUCAAAGAAUGAAUGAGAUGAUCAAAGCAUGUAAAAAUCCUUGAAGGGUGAGUCUUGGACCGUUUACUGAUAAAGUCACUACAGGGUACUUAGUUUGGAGAGCAAAACGAAGACAAAAAAUGGUAUUCACUUAUGAAAGCUUUCAACCACCAAUAGAAGAAAAACUUGAAGAGACACCAUCAGAAUUAGAGCUUGCAACAAAAAAAUUUGAGUCUGAAAAAGGUAAGCUAAAGCAAGAAAUCUAGAAGCUUCAAGAAAAAAAAGCCCAGUGGAAAGAUAGAGCUAGAAGUCAUGAAGUUAAAGUUCACAAGAUUGCUAAAAAACAUGAUACAACUAUUGAAGACCUAGCAAAGCUACACCAAGAGCAUAAAAGGUUAUGUGUGAGAGAAAGGGCCAAAGAGAUAACCAUUAUCGAGCUGACUGAAGAAAAUGCAAGAUUGAAGCAAGAGUAUGCUGAAUUGGAAGAAGAAAGUACCCAAAUACAGACAAAGAGUAACAUGCUAACAGUUAUCUUAGCAGGCUAAGGUAAAAGUUGAAUGAACAAGAAAACCAUAUUGCUACAUUGGUUAAGGAGCAUAGAAAAUUAUCAUACCAAGUCUGGUGUGGGAAAAAAGAGAACUUAGGAAGACAAAAAUACAUUGAGCACCUAACGACCUAAAUCCAUAAAGGGGUAUCCAAGGCAAAAGAGAUGAUGGAAGAGGCAGAGGCAUUGAAACAAAUGGUGACCCCAGUAGGAGAACAUGGACAGCGUUGUUGAACUUCAUUGAAGAAGCCAAGGCCCAGUAUGAACAGAUCAAACAAUUUUAUGGUUAUAAUUCUAGGAUGAUAAACUCAAUGUAAAUAAAAGUUUUUUAGAAUAAAUGAAAUCUUUUAAUUGAAUACCGUUUUUAAGGUAAAUGUUUUUUGCAUACAUGCAUUUUUCAUUCAUUGCAUUCUCAUUUAUUACACUUAAUAAAGUAACCAUGUGAUAGUUAUACGAAUUUACUAAUCCUAAGAUAUGGUACUCAAGGUUCAAAGAUAGCUCCAUCUAGCGAAAACCCUGCCCAUCGAUACAACACAAGAUCCAGAGCCAGACAAAUAGAGCAAAAAAAUUCUCACAGAUUUGAAAAAAUAGAAAAAGCACAGGAAAAGAUUGAAAGUAAGUUGAGCAAGAUUCUGGAUGCUCUUAAUAAGCUGAAUAAGGGAAAAAGAGUUGAAAAAAAUGUAAGCCAACAAGUUCUCCCGUUGCAAGAAGUGGCUGACCCUUUAUAUCCUUCAAGUUUUGGCCCACCUCAAGCCCAGUCUGCUCAAGAGGUUCCACCAUAACACUUCACAUAUCCAACAUAUCCUGGAAUACCGUCAGUUUCUAACCCAGGGCAUUGUAAUAGCUAUGUAAAUCCUGUCUUUACUGAAAAGGUAGUAGAACCAAUUCCUGAUCUAAAUGAUUUGAAAGAGAAGAAGAAAGAAAAAAUAAGGGUGAAAACUCAGGAAAGCUCCAAGAUUGGUAUGCUAAAACAAAGGCUACGGGCUGUAGAAGGAUUUGGUUUCUAUGGUUCAGUUGAUGCUGCUGGGCUUUGCUUAGUCUUUGAUGUGGUCAUUUCUCAUAAGUUCAAAGUACUAAAAUUUAAAAAAUAUGAUGGUACGAAGUGCCCCAAAAUCCACAUCACUAUGUAUUGCAGGAAGAUGGUAGCUCAUGCUCAUGAUGAAAAACUCUUGAUGCAUGUCUUUCAGGAUAGUCUUACAGGCUCAGCGGCCAGGUGGUAUGUUCAGCUGGACAGAACCUGCAUUCGUUCUUGGAACGAUAUGGCUCAUGACUUCAUCAGCCAAUAUCGAUAUAUUUUUAAUCUGGCCCCUGAUCAUUUAUCUUUACAGAACCUAGAGAAAAAGGUAAAUGAGUCUUUUAAAGAGUAUGCCUAGAGAUGGAGAGAUAUAACUUCUCAGGUACAACCUUCACUGACUGAGAAAGAGACCACAGUACUGUUUGUUAACACUUUAAAACCUUUCUAUUAUGAAAAGAUGAUAGGAAAUGUAACAAAAAAUUUUACUGAUAUGAUAAUUUUGAGAGAAAUUAUUGAGAGUGCCAUCAAGAAUGGCAAGUUAAAAGAAAAUGAAGCAUCUAGCAAGAAAGUCUCAAAGAAGAAAGAGACUGAAGCUUAGGCUGUGAGCUUUGAUAGACAGUAAUUUGGGGGCUAUCAACCCUACUCACCACCAAGAUACCUGUCAUAUUACCCUACUGUAAAUAACACUUCCUCUUAUCCAUACCAACCAUUUGUACAGUCACCUUACCCCCAAACAUAUCAAACCCCUCUUAGGCUUCAAAACACCAUGUACAAUCCUAACACUCAGCCUACCCCAAGACCCUAAAAUUGCCCAACUAACCCCAUUGAUGGUUCACGGGAGCAAUGAACUACUCGUGAGAAACUUGUGUUUGACCCAAUUUCAAUGAUUUAUACAAAAUUACAUAAGAAGCUUUACAACAGUCAUUUGAUUGUUCCUAGUAAAUUGGAACCCCUCAAGCCGCCUUACCGUAAGUGGUAGAUCCCACAACCCAUUGUGACUACCAUUAUGGGAUUACUGGUCACUCCACCAAAAAUUACACCACCCUGAAACAUAAAGUGCAAUGUUUGAUCAAGGAUGGAAUGAUUUACUUUGAUACGGGAGGGGUGACUGCACCGAAUGUUAGUGGCAAUCCCUUGUCGAAUCAUAAUGUGAAUGCUUUAAGUGAAGAAUAGGGGCAUCAUUUGAAGAAAGAAGUGACGAAUAUCAAGACACCUCUCAGCCAACUGUUCGAUGUUCUAUGGAGAGCUGACAUGAUACAACUAGUAAGUCCACAUAGCUAUCAUGGAGCAUAUAUAGUCGAUACUAGUUGUAAGUAUCAUAAUAGGGUAAUAGGCCAUUCCAUUGAAACCUAUGAAUAGUUUCACCAAGAGGUGCAAAAACUCUUAGAUUUAUAUCAGAUGGAGGUCUAUGAAAGAAGAGAAGACUUAAAGAGUGUUGAGGUGUCCAUGGCCGAUAAGCCUGCAAAGCUGUUUCUAAAGCCAGUGAUAAUUCAUUGUGGGAACAAGCCAAAGUCAAUCAUAGACAAACUUAUUCCUAGAUCGGUAACUUUUAAAGUUCUAACUCUUUUCUCGUACAAGGAUGAUAAAGCUAUACCCUGGAGAUAUGGUUGUGAUACAGUAGUUCAUGGGUAAGAAGAGGAUGUCUCCAAAGUUGACGCUUUCAAUAUAACUGGUGUAGGAGGUAUUACCCGAAGUGGAAGGUGCUACAGUCCAGAAAUGUUGAAGAAGGUUAGAAAAAAGAAGGCCAAAGAAAGAAAAUGAUGAAACAAUCCUGAAGUAGAACUUGAAGAAGAUCAUCCGAAGUCGGUAUCAGAAAGAGAGAUUUGUGAAUUCCUAAAGCUAGUAAAAUAUAGUGAGUAUUUAGUUGUUGAACAAUUGAAUAAAAUGCCAGCCCGAAUCUCAUUACUAUCACUGCUGCUAAAUUCAGAACCACACCAAAACGCCCUGCUAAAAGUAUUGAACUAGGCAUAUGUGACACAUAAUGUAUCUGUUGAAUAUGUGAACCACCUAGCUGAAAAUAUAGUCAUGCCAAAUCACAUUUUCGUUCAAUGAUGAUGAAAUUUCCUUAAAGGGAAAAAGAAAUGCCAAGGCUUUGCAUAUCACAGUCAAGUGCAAGAGCCAUAUUAUAGUCAAGGUCCUUAUCGAUAAUGGCUCUACUAUCAAUGUCAUGCCUAUGUCAAUUUUGGCGAGGCUACCCAUCGAUUACUCUCAUAUAAAGAAUAGUUAGAUGAUUGUGAGAGCUUUUGAUGGGACCAGAAGAGAAGUCUUAGGGGAUAUCGAGAUGCCUUUACAAAUCAGGCCAUGCACUUUAAUGUGAUGUUUCAAGUAAUGGAUAUCUCUUCAUCAUAUAGCUGUCUAUUAGGAAGGCCAUGGAUCCACAUGAUAGGAGCUGUGCCCUCUACUUUGUACCAAAAGAUCAAGUUUAAUGUAAAAUGUCAAUUAGUAGUGGUAGUUGGGGAGGAAGACAUGCUAGUGACCCAACCAUUGAACACUUCAUAUGUAGAGGCUACCAAAAAAGCAUUGGAAUGCUCCUAUCGAUCUUUUGAAUUGGUUAAUUCUGUAGGUGAAUGAUUUAAAAAUCAACCUUUUUCAAGGAUAGUGAUGAGCUAAGUCAUCAACAAAGGCUGGUAUCCAGGACUAAGGCUGGACAAAAACUUACAGGGAAUAAAGGAACCCCCAACGGUGAUAGACAAUAACAACAAGUUAGGCCUAGGCUAUGAAAUGGCAGAAUGAGAGGUCAAAAGAAGGCCAGCAAAAAAGUCAGCAAGACUAAUGGUUAUCCCACACCUGUAUGAGACUUUCAAACUUAGAGGAUUCAUGUACCCAGAUACAGGAAAAAGUGUGAAAAAUACUUUUAUCUAGUUAACCAUUAAUGCUGUUGAAGAUGAAGUGGGGCUUAAUCAAGAAGAGUGCGUUAGCCUUUGUCCCUCAAAUUAUGAGCUGAAUAAUUGGAGUGCCAUCGAGAUGCCUGUGACUUUUGAGACUAAUACAAUGUAAUUAUAACAUCCCAAUAGCUAUUGCCCAAGGCAUUGGGGUAAUCUUUCUUGUUUGGGCCAUUUAUCUUUUAUUAUUUUUAAUAAAAAAUAGAAAGGAUGCAUUUUCAUUCAUUUCUUCUUGUGUCUUCAUUAUUUCCAUCUUUUCAAGCACAUCUUGCCAACAUAUCUUAUUUCAUUCAAUUUCAGGUCUUUAAAUGAACAUGAAGAUAAUCAUGAUAACAAUCAAGAGAUUAGUUUUGAGAAUUCAAUUAACAUUGAUGAACUUGACAAUGAAGAGAAUUCUGAGGAAUAUGUUAUGCCUCCAGACCUAAUGAGAUUGAUUGAAUAAGAAAAUAAGCCAAUUGAGCCUCAUCAGGAGAUAAUUGACUUAGUGAAUCUGAAAGAUGAAGAGAAUAAGAAAGAUGUCAAAAUCGGCACUUCAUUUUCAUUGAGAGAUAGACAACAAUUGGCAGACCUACUUUAAGAAUUCGUAGAUGUAUUUACUUAGUCUUACCAGGAUAUGCCAGGGCUAAGCACGAAGAUAGUGGAGCAUAGAUUACCGUUAAAGUCAGAAUGUAAGCCAGUUCAGCAAAAAUUGAGACGGAUAAAGCCUGAAAUGCUACUAAAAAUCAAAGAAGAGGUGAAGAAACAAUUUGACGCAGGUUUUCUACAAGUGGCUAAGUAUCCAGAAUGGGUAACCAAUAUAACACCCGUUCUUAAGAAAGAUGAAAAGGUAUGAAUAUGUGUAGACUAUCGGGACUUAAAUAAGGCUAGUCCAAAGGAUAAUUUUUCUUUACCUCAUAUCGAUACACUGGUAGAUAAUAUAGCUAAGCAUUCAAUUUUCUCUUUUAUGGAUGGUUUCUCAGGGUAUAAUCAGAUAAAAAUGGCUGCAGAUAAUAUGGAAAAGACCACUUUCAUGACUAUGUAGAGAACCUUUUGUUAUAAGAUCAUGCCUUUUGGGUUAAAAAAUGCUAAGGCAACAUAUCAAAAGGCCAUGGUAACACUCUUCCAUGACAUGAUGCACAAAGAGAUCGAGGUGUAUGUAGACGAUAUGAUUACAAAGUCUUGUGAAGGUGAAGAUCGUCACUAGCCUCAAAAAGUUAUUUGAAAGAUUAAGAAAAUUUCAGCUCAAAUUAAAUCCAGCCAAAUGCAUCUUUGGGGUAAAGUCAGGGAAGUUACUAGGCUUUGUGGUUAAUGAAAGAGGAAUUGAAAUUGAUCCAGAUAAAAUAUGAGCCAUUCAGAAUAUGUCACCUCCCAGCACACCGAAGGAAGUUCCAGGUUUUCUGAGGAGAUUGAACUAUAUUUCUCGAUUUAUCUCUCAGUUUACUUACAAAUGUGAUCCCAUAUUUAAGCUUCUCUAUAAGAAUAAUCCUGGAAAAUGGAAUGAAGAAUGUCAACAAGCAUUUGAUAAAAUUAAGCAAUACUUGUCAAACCCUCCAGUGUUAGUGCCACAUGUUCCAAAGAAACCUUUAAUUCUGUACUUGACAGUAUGCGAAAAUUCAAUGGAAUGUAUGCUGGGGCAAUAAGAUGAGUCAGCCGAAAAGAGAUAGCUAUUUACUAUCUGAGUAAGAAGUUCACAGAGUAUGAAUCCAAGUAUUCUUUAUUGGAGAAAAUGUAUUGUGCAUUAGCAUGGACCGCCAAAAGACUCAGACAGUAUAUGCUCUAUCAUACCAUAUGGCUCGUAGCAAAACUGGAUCCAAUUAAAUAUAUCUUCGAGAAGCCUUCUUUGUCUGAAAGAAUUGCUAGAUGGCAAGUAAUGCUCUCAGAAUAUGAUAUUAUAUACAUGAGCUAAAAAGUAAUAAAAUGGGGCGCUAUAGCGAAGUUUCUUGCAGAUCGGGCUAUUGAAGAGUAUGAACCAAUGAAGUUGGAAUUCCCUGAUGAAGAUCUAAUGACUAUUUCUCAAUUAGAGAAAGGGGAAAAUGAAGAAAAAUGCUGGAGAAUGUAUUUUGAUAGAGCUGCCAAUGCCUUAGGGCAUGAAAUUGAGGUAAUUCUGAUUUUUCCAGAAGAACAAUACUGCCUUGUAACAGCAAGGUUAAAUUUCAACUACACAAAUAACAUUGCUAAAUAUGAGGCCUGUGUCAUUGGCUUACAAGCUACUAUAGAUAGAAGAGUGAAAUCAUUAAAAGUGUUUGGAGACUUAGCUCUGGUUAUAUAUCAAUUGAAAGGAGAAUGGGAGACGAGAGAUUCAAAACUCGUUUCAUAUCAUAAGUAUAUUCUAUAGUUGACGAAACAAUUUGAAGAUAUCCAGUUUGACCACUUACCUCGAGAAGAGAAUUUGAUUGCUGAUGCAUUGGCUACUCUGGCUGUAAUGAUUUGAAUUAAUGAUAAUACUGAUAUUCAGGCCAUCAACCUAGAUGUUAAGGAUAUACCAGCUUAUUGCUCUAAUGUAGAAAAAGAAAAAGAUGGAAAGCCCUGGUAUUAUGACAUUCUACAGUAUAUUAAGGAUCAGCAAUACCCUGUUCAAGCAACGAAAAAUGAUAAACGGGCCAUCCGAAAAUUGGCUAUGACCUUUUCCCUGAAUGGGGAUGUUCUGUACAAAAAAAGUCAGGAUCAAGUAUUAUUGAGGUGCAUAAGUAAGACUGAAGCGAAGAAAAUUAUUGAAGAGGUGCAUGAUAGAAUAUGUGGGGCACAUACCAGUGGACAUAUGAUGGCGAGACAGAUCAUGAAAGUAAGAUAUUACUGGUUGACGAUGGAGAAUGAUUGCAUUGACUAUGCUCAUAAAUGCUAGAUAUAUGCUGAUAAGAUCCAUACUCUACCAUCUGUUUUGCAUGUUAUGGCACCACCAUGGCCAUUCUCAAUGUGAAGCAUGGAUGUCAUUGGUCCAAUCACCCCAAAGGCUUCUAACGGGCAUAGAUUCAUUUUUGUGAUGAUAGAUUACUUCACAAAAUGGGUAGAGGCAGCAUCAUAUGCAAGUGUAACACGAUCUGUGGUUUGUAAGUUCAUAAAGAGAGAGAUCAUCUGUAGAUAUGAACUUUCAGAAAAAAUUAUUUCAGAUAAUGCCAAGAAUCUAAAUAGUAAGAUAAUGCAAGAAAUAUAUGCUCGAUACAAGAUCAAGCAUCAUAACUCAGUACCAUAUCAUCCGAAAAUGAAUGGGGUAGUUGAGGCAGUCAAUAAGAACAUAAAAAAGAUUCUAAAAAAGGAGAUUAAGACUUAUAAAGAUUGGCAUGAGAAGUUGCCAUUUGCGUUGCAUGCAUAUCGAAUGCCAGUUCGUACCUCUACUGGGGCAACCCCAUUUUCUUUGGUUUAUGAGAUGAAAGCUGUACUACCAGUGGAAGUAGAGAUCCCCUCCCUGAGGGUUCUAAAAGAAGUUGAGUUGGAAGAAGCUGAAUGGAUUCGAGAACGCUAUGAACAGUUAAAUUUCAUAGAAGAAAAGAGAUUGACUGCACUAUGCCAUGGUCAGCUAUAUCAAAGAAGAAUGAUGAAGGCUCAUGAUAAAAAGAUUCGACCUCGUUACUUUCGAGAAGGAGAGUUGGUCUUGAAGAGAAUCCUUCCGAUCCAACACGAUAGUAGAGAAAAAUGGACUCUGAAUUGGGAAGAACCGUAUGUGGUGAAACGGGUUUUUUCGAGUGGAACAUUGAUACUGAUUGAGAUGGAUGGAAAUGAUUUACCCCAUCCUAUAAAUUCUAAUGCUAUGAAAAAAUACUAUGCUUGAAGAAAAAAUGAAAAAAAUGAAAAAAAUGAAAAAAUGAAAAAAGAAAAAAAGUGAAUGAAAAAGGAAGACUCAAGGCGAAAACCCUAAAAGGGCGGUUUGAGUCAUAGGGGGUUUAUCUAGGUUGAAAACCUGAAAAGGCAGCUUAGAUAAGGAGAAUACGGCAUCGAAUUUGAAAAUCCAUUGGCAUGGAGACUAGUAAAUUCGAAAGAACUCCAAGUUGCUAAAUACAUCAGAGGGUUGGAUUUUCAAAAAAAAUCUUGAGAUAUGUUAUCAUGAUUAUCCGAUUGUUUAUUUUGGGCUUUGUCCCCAUACUUAUUCUUGUAAUUCUCCCUUGGCCAAAAUUUGCCAACAUUUUGCUAAUAAAAGACAUUCUAUUUCACUCUUUGUGUCUUUUCUUGUGACUGUUUCUCAACUAUUCUUAUUCUUUUUUUUCUUAAUAUCCUACAAUGGAAGAAAUGGGCAAAUGCAUUCUUACUUUUUGAGUUUGAAAUAAUGACUGAUAAAUGAAUAAUGGCAUGAAAGACUUUUACAUUACAUUGAAGAGGUCCCAAAUGAUAAAAGCAGAAUCGAGAUGUUCAGUUCCUGAUAAGGACAUUGAAUUUGGAAGAAAAUUUUUUAUAGAAAGAAUGCAAGCGGAAGAGGUGAUUGAAAGCUACACUUGCUCGAUCUUAGAAGAAUAACGUAAUCUGAUUUUUGAAAAAUCAAAGGGUUUAGGGCCCAAGAAAAGAGUUUGAGAAGCUUGAGUACCACAACUGAAUAGGAGUUAAUUAGCCAACAUUUGCAUAACAUGCAUUGAAUUUCAUAUACAUUGCAUAGCAUAUACUAUAUAAAUUCAAGAAGUAGGGGUAUUCCAAAAUCUCACAUAGAGGAGAUAGAUGUGAAAACAUUUUCAAAUUUGAGAAAAAGCUUGUCAAGUAAGUUCCUAAUCCUUGAAAUAAGAUGUCUCUUGGUAUCAUGGUUGAUUUAUAAGACCUUUGGGCAUAAUCUCUUGAAAUUCCUUCAAACACAAUUUUUAACUCCUUUGGACAUGAUUGUCAAUGAGCCAUUUACUUUUCAAAAGUCGUUGAGCCUCUGAUUAGAGGAGCCAUUUAUUUUUCCAAAGUCGUUGAGCCUCUAAUUAGAGGAGCCAUUUAUCUUUCCAAAGUCGUUGACGAGCCUCUAAUUAGAGGAGCCAUUUAUUUUUCCAAAGUCAUUGAGCCUCUGAUUAGAGGAGCAUUGUUUAUGUUUUUCAAAAUUGUUGAGCCUCUGCUUAGAGAAGCCUUGAUCAAAUCUUAAACAUAAAAAAAUAAAAAAAAAGGUCGAGUUGAGUUUUGAAUGGGUGUCUACGUCUUUGCGCAAUUUUUGUUUCACAGAAAAUGUGCAAAAAGGGGCAGCUGUAGACACUCAAUUUGGUCCAGGCCCAGAUCAAUUAGGCCUGGUCCAAAUGGGUAAGCCCAUUUUCCUUUUUUAUUUUUGUAUUUUACAUUUUUAUUUUAUUUAUAUAUUUUUAUUAUUUUUAUUAUUAUUAUUAUUUAUAUUUUUUUCUUUUAUUUUUAUCUUAUGUAUUUAUUAUUAUUUUUUUUAUUACUAUUUAUUAAUAUAUAUAUCCUUAUUAUUAUUAUUUUUUUCCUGUUAAUAUUUAUAUAUAUUUAUCUGAUUAUAUAUUAUAAUUUAUCUAUUAUUUAUAAUUUAUCUGUUAAUUUUUUAGUUUAUCUGAUUAUUUAUUUAUUAAUAUUUUUUUAUUAUUUGAUUUUUUUUAUUAUUUUUUUUAUUUCUUUUUUUUCGUCUGAAGAUUGGAUUGGGAUUCAAUCAGAGUCCAUAUUGGAUUCAAUGAUUGAAUCUCGAUCUAAAGAGGAGUUGGGAUUGAUCAGAAACUCUUCUGAUCAAUCUCUAUAAAAAGACCCUUGGAUCAAAGGAAAAAACAUAGAAAAAAGAGUUACUGGCUGAAAAAAAGGCAGAUAGAAGAGAUUUGAAAGCUGAAAAAGGAUUUAGAGGCGUUAGAAUAGCUUUAGGAAUCGGUGGGAAAUUUUUGGAGAUUUUUCUGUGAUUUUUUUUUUUUGAAAAUUUUUUAAAAAUUUUCAGAUUUCGGUUGAAUUUUUUGACGAAGGUUGAAUUUUUCGACAACUAUUUCGGCUAAGUUUGAAGUUUCCGUCUAGCUACCCAGUUUUCGAUAAGAAUUUCCAGAAACCGACCAACUUUUCGAUGAACUUUCGACGAAAAACUCAGAUUCCAACGAAAAUUUUCAAAAUCCGGUGGCCAUUCAACCAGAGUUCUUCGGGUUUUUAGAGAGAAGGGAGAGAAGAGAAAGGAAAAGAGAGAGAGAGGGAAGAAGGCUUCUGCUGAAGAAACGAAGGAAUCAGCCUUAUAUACACUCUUAAAACGACGUCAUUUCUGCGUUAAAUAACUCAGAGGAUCCAUGCGUUUUACCAAGAUCCGACCCGACCCGAGCAUCAACCCGCUUUCGACACGCGUGUGACCCGCGUCUCAAGUCGUUAGCCGAGCUGACACCCUGAGCCGCGUCUCCGAGCCAUUUUUUCUUCCUUAAGUCGAGCCGAACCGCAAGCCGAGCCGUUCUCAGGUUUUUUUUUUCUUUUUUUUAUUUUAUUUUAUUUAUUUAUUAUUAUUACAUCAGAAUUGUUUAACAUUUUUAUUAUUUAUUUUUUUUUAUUUAUUUUCAUUUUUAUUCUUUUUAUUUUAUUUUAUCAUUUUAUUAUUUUUUUUUAAUAAAAUUAUUUUUGAGAAAAAGUUGAAAGUAUCAAUUUUCCUUAAAAAUAAAUUUUCAAAAAAAAAAGAGGUUUUGAGGAAAAGUUGAAAGUAUCAAUUUUUUCUUGUACAAAAAUAAUCAUUUUUUCUUUUGUAUUUCCUUUGAAUUUUUUUUAAUGUUAAAUAAUCCGACGAUGGAGCUUCUGCAAGUGAAACAGUAGUUUACUUGCAUACUCUUGAAGGUGAGGAGAUUUUUUCAAUUUUUUGCUAAAAGUAUUAGAGUCAAUUAAGAAUAAUUUUCAAUAGUUAAUUACUUUGUAAAAUUUUAAGGCUUAUUGGAUAACACAAAAUUAAGCUGGUACCAUCUUUUGAUGGGCGUUGUGAGGGUGCUAUAACUUUUCUCACACGUAACCGAACUCCCGAACCCUGUUCUGGUUAGUAGAUCUGAACAUAUUCUUUUAGGGACCCUUAAACUUAGGUGUUCCCUAAAAAGAUAAAUUCCUUAGGUGGCCAAUCGCACCUAGAUAAAAAAAGAUUGGUGACGACUCCUUAAGUUAAUGUCUAGCGAUCGAUCCCCGGAUCUAAACGUUAUGACACUCACACAAUUCAAUUUACCAACUAUAUAUAAAUAUAUAUUAAUCUUUUAUUCAUACGUUGCGCAAGACCAAUUCAAUUGUUGAUAUACUUGCCAAAUCUAGAAAUUAUCGGUCCAAUGAUCUUGUAAUUAACUUGAUUGUGACGGCCUUUAAUCUUUCAAUUUUUUCUAUUGUUACCUUUUGUUCCAAUUUUUAUUAAAUAAAUCUAUCAUUGCCUUUCGAAAAAUAUACAUUAAUCUCUCAUUAAGCAGUAAGGUGUGGUUAAUUAUAAAGAAUACUACCAUCUUUCAUUGCAAUUGAUGACGAUCACCUUAUUGCUAAGGCUAGAUACAUGUAGUUGGUCAAAACGAAGGUUACCAAAAAUUUUGAAGAGGGCUAACAUCUAAUAAUCUCAUAAAGCCUUCAAGAGCAAUUAUAAUUCAGGAUAAAAAUUUUUAACUCAGCAAUUAUUGAAAAUCCUUUAUAUACAUUGACCCUGAACAAAAUACCAGCAACUAUUUUUGAAAAAAAAAAAAAGACAAAAAUUUCAGAGCACAUUAUGAAUGGAGAGAAAACUUUUGAAAAUGUGACCAGGGAUGGAUUUAAGAUUCAUGUUCAAUGGAAUCAACAAAUAUAGAUAAUAUUAAAUAUAAAAAUAUAAAUUAACUCAAAUGUAUAAAAAAUUAUUUUGUUUAUAUAUAAAGAUAACAUAUUAUAAUUAUUUUUUAUGGGUUUCUUAUUGUGAAAAUAAACUUUUUAAACAUUAUGUCUUUCAUUAGGAUGAUAGUCUAAAAUCAUUUUUUAUAACUCUGGAUCCAAUGAAAAUCUUCUAGAUCUAAUUAAACAUGAAUUUAUUUUACAAAAUGUUGUUGUCACUAUUAUUGAUUUUGGAUGAUUCUUUCGAAAUUGACUUUCGUUUAAUAAGAUAUUUCUACAAAUCUAAUUAAAUUAGAUAAUUUAGUUUAUAUAAUUUCUAAAAAAUAAGAAGAUAAUGUUGUAGUUUGUAUUAGAUAUUGAACUGUAAUUAUGCAAACCAAAUCAACAUGCAUAUUUUAUUAUGUAUUUUGAAUUUUAAUUAAAUACUAUAAUUUUAUAUAUAAAAAAUAAUUUCAUAAAAAUUAAAUUAUUUCAUUGAUCAACUUACAAAAGUACAAUAUUCUUCUAUAUUAAUCCACUUAUAAUAUAAAUAUAAAUAAAUCAUAAAUUAAGCACCAAAUCAAAUUAUUUUAUCAAUAUAAAAAAAAUUAUAUAGUAAACAAAUAUUUUGUCACAUAAACAAAUUAUAAUAAAUACAAAAAAAAAUUCCAAAAAAAGUAAUUACUUACUUAAAUAUAUUGAUGGAAGAAAAAAAUGUUCACUGCUUAAUUUGUUUUUUUGGUUUAUUGACUUUUCUUUAUCCUCUUGUUGUUUCUCUACUUCUAUUCUCUAUAUACUGUACUUUUUAUGUGUUUGGACCAAUAAAAAAAUUAUAGGUGGAAUAGAAAGAAGAUCACUUUUUAUUAAAUGUUGAUCCUUGAAUAAAAAAUUAUUUAUAAACAUUUAUUCUAUUUAUAUUUAUACAUAUGACCCUAUUAUUUUUGUAAAAUAAAUCAUUUAUAUUGUAAUUAUAAUUUUGUUCUUUCGAACAUUUAUAAAAGUGUUAUAUUUUUUUUUCAUUUUUUGUGGGGAUAAAUUAUAAAAGAAUUAAAAUUUUUAAAGAUUUUGUAAUAAUUUCUAAGGAUAUUAGGAUCUCAGUGGGGGCAACUGCUCCCCCUGCCCCCAUUGUAGAUCCACCCUUGGAUGUGGCUAAUUAUACAAUACUACUAUUUGAAAAUUAGAAAAUGUAAAUCAAUCUUUGUAAGUUUAUUGAUCAGCGAUAAUUGAUAUCUUAUUACAAUUAAUUUGUCACAUUUAUAAUUUCUUCAAGAAAAAAAUUGGUCACAUAAUGUAAACAAAUGUAUUAUGUAGUAUAAAAUCUAAGUGUAGAGACCAACUCAAGUCUAAUUUAAUAUUAUUGUUGAAAAUAACUUUUGCUUUCAUAAGCUAUUUUUUAUCCAGCCUCAUUGCUAAACAGCAAAAAAUAAAUGCGACUUUUUAGUUUAAAAGUCUGGUUUUACAACCCAAACAAGAAAGCUACUUAAAAAGUAAUUUUUACCGUGAAAAAGUGUUUUGGGAUAGAAAAUUACUAUAUUACCUUAUAUUUAUAAUAUUUUUAUUAUUUUAUACAUAUUUUUUUUAGACAUUUUAAUUACUCACCGUUUUUUUCUUAAUAAUAAUAAACAUUUGAAAUUCUUAACCAUAUUUUUUCUAUCACACUUUUUAAAUAUAUUUUUUUAAUCACAACAACAAUGAUAAACCAGCUCUUAGUCUUACUCUUUUGAAUGCUAAUAAAAAUUUAAAUUCUACUUGUUGUCUAGCUAUGGAUGUGGAUUCAAAUGUUCUAAAUCAAGAAUCAAGAGACUGGAAUUUGAAAAUCCAAAUUCAAAAUGGGUUAAGGAAUUAAUAUUAUAAACUUUGAGUGGAGUACUUUUUCUUCCAAGGCCAUCUAAGGGAGAGGUUAGAUUAUUAGUGGAGUUUUUAGAUUUCACAAGUAAAAAUAGCGUGGAUUGAAAUUAAGAGUUGAUGAUUAUUGGGUUGGUGGUAAAGGGCUGUCCAUUCCUGUAUAAUUAUGCUUGUUCGAAAAAUGGGGUCCAGCCUCAUGUAAGUGAUUUUGGACCAAGUAAAGGCCAUGCGCCUUGAUCUUUCAUUUUACACAGAGCCCUAGCUACUUAAUAAAAAAAGAGGUGGGGUUACUUUAAGUGUGUGUCGAAAACUAAGUAGAGAAAAAAGAAAAGCUAAAAAAAGCAGAGAGAAAAAAGAGAAGGAAGAGUUGGUUGAACGAAAUUCGAUCCAUGGUCCGAUUGAGUUGGAAUCUUGUCAGGAGGUUUAUGAUUCAGAGUUCUACAUUCUGAACGGUGAAGAUCGGGUUUGAAGCUCUCUAGGAACAAAUCUAAGGUGUAUUUGUUGAGUCACUUAUUUGGUGAGAUUUCUUCAAUUAUUUCUCUAGUUGUUGAUUAGCUCUAGUUUUAGCUAGAGAAGAACUUUGUAUACCUAUUAUUUAAUAGUGAAGAUUUUUCUGGUGGUUCGUGAUUUUUUUUUCCUCUACACUGGAGGGUUUUUCAAGUAAAUCUUGGUGUGCUUUAUUUUUUUGUGUUGUUUUUUAUUAUUGAUUGUUGUCUAUUGCUUCUGUAUUAUUGUGAUUAUUGCUUCAGGCACAACAAGUGAUAUCAGAGCGAGGAUUAUUUUUAGACAUCAAUACAGAAGCAACCCAAGAUAAAAGUAAAUUCUGUUUGAGAUCAUGAAGAGUUAUACAUGUUCUAUGAUAAAAUUGACAGCAUCGAAUUAUUUAAUUUGAAAGCCUAUGAUGGAUGAUCAUCUAUACUGCAAAGAUUUGUAUGAGCCAGUAUUGGGUGAUUUGGUUAAACCAGCAGAUAUGAAAGAUGAAAGCUGAAAGAAGCUAGGUAGAAAGACGUUGGCUACAAUCAAAAAAUGGGUUGAUAUCAGCGUGUUUCAUGAUGUAGCGCAGGAGUCAGAUGCUCACAUUGUUUGAAAAAAAUUGACAGCAUUGUAUGAGAGAAAAACAGGUAUGAAUAAAGUUAUGCUUGUUAAAAAGCUUGCAACUUUACAGUACAGGGAUGGACGAUCUGUUACAGAGUACUUGAGUGAUUUUCAAUAUAUUUAAUCGGAUGACUACUAUGGAGCUUAAGAUGGAUGAUGAAAUGAAAGCAUUAUUUCUUUUGGGUUCAUUAUCAGACAACUGAAAUACUCUAGUUGUGACUUUCUUAAUUCAGCUCCUGAUUAUAUGGUGACAUUGGAAAUGGUAAAGGAUAGUAUGCUUAAUGAAGAAGCAAGGUGAAAAGAUGUAGACCCUGAAAAUCAAGCUCUGGUCACAGAGAACAGAGGUAGAAACAUCAACAGAGGUCAGGACUCAAAUGGCCAUGGUAAGUCUAAACAUAGAUCCAAGUCUAGAGGUAAAGUGAAGUGUUUCUAUUGUGGUAAGGCAAGUCAUAUAAAACGAACUAUAAAAUCUUGAAGCAAGAGCGAAAAGAUGAGAAAGGUAAAAGUUCAGAUGAUGGUAAUGUUAUAGCAGUGAAUUCAGAUAGUGAUUCAGUUACUUUGAUUUGUACACAUAGUGAUUGUAAUCAUGUUAGUGAUCCCGACAUUAAGUGGAUAGUUGACACAGGAGCGACAUAUCAUUGUGUUCCUAAGAGAGAGUUGUUUACAAUUUACAAAGCAGGAGACUUUGGUUGUACCAAGAUGAAAAACAAAAAUGUGUCGCAGAUUGUUGGGAUUGAUGAUAUUAUUGUACAAACUAGUAUAGGUUGCAUGUUGACUUUGAGGGAUGUCAGACACAUUUCAGAUAUGAGAAUGAACUUGCUUGCUAUUAAUGUCCUUGAUAAUGAGGGAUAUGAAAACGAUAAAAAAAUGGACAGUGAAAGCUUCUUAAAAGAUCUAUGGUAGUUAUAAGAGGAAAACUAUGAUGCACAAUGUAUAAAACAUGAAUGCAAUUGAAUGGUAACCAAGUAAAUACCGUUGAAAAUGAUGCUUCAGUAAACUUGUGACACAGGAGACUGGCAUAUAUGAGUGAAAAAGGGUUACAGGUUUUGGCAAGACAGUCUCUUAUUCCCUUGACCAAAGGUAUGUCUCUCGAUUCAUGUGAUUAUUAUUUGUUUGAUAAGCAUCAUAGAGUUUUUUUUCGUAAAAGUUCUCAGAGAAAAGAAAAUAGAUUGGAAUUAAUUUAUUCUGACAUAUGUAGUCCCGUUGAAGUUGAGUCAUUAGGUGGUAGCAGAUAUUUUGUUACUUUUAUUGAUGAUGCUUCACCUAAGACUUGGGUGUAUAUGUUAAAAAAUAAAAGUCAGGUACUACAAUAUUUUUACAAAUUCCAUGCCAUGGUUGAAAGGAUGACAGGGUUACUCUUGAAGUGUAUUCGAACUAAUAAUAGUGGAGAAUACACAUCUAAAGGCUUUGAAAAAUAUUGCUCAAAGCAUGGGAUCAGGCAUAAGAUAACAGAACCUGAAAUACCGUAGCAUAAUGGUAUAGCUAAAAGAAUGAAUCUUAUAAUUGUGAAAAAAAUCAGAUGUAUGUUGAGGAUGAAAAAAUUACCAAAGUCAUUCUGGGGUGAAGCAGUCAACACGACUGUUAUUUACUUAACAGAUCACCAUCAGUUCCUUUGGGCUUUGACAUUCCAAAAAGAGUGUAGACAGGAAAAGAUACUUCAUACUCUCACUUGAAAGUUUUUAGGUGUAAAGCAUUCAUGCAUGUGUCGAAAGAGUAGAGAUCAAAGCUUGACAGUAAAGCCACACAGUGUGUGUUUAUAGGAUAUGGUGAUGAGAAAUUUGGUUACAGGGUAUGGGAUCCAGUAAAGAAAAAGAUAGUCAGAAGUAGAGAUGUGGUCUUUCAUAAAAAAAAAAAAAAAAACAUAGCAAAUCUUAAAAAAAAAUGAGAAGACUACACGAAUUAUUGUUGAGUGUGAUAUUUCAACACCGAUAGAGAUUUCACAGGAAAGAGCCAUAGAUGGUGGAAAUGAGCAAGAAAUAAAACUUGGGAUAUGAAUGAGCCAGCCACAGUUGGUAAUGAGCCAGAUGCAAUUAGUUUUGAGCAGGGAGAGCAAUCCUCUCUACCUGAAAGUGUUGAACAGGGGGAGCUACCUUUGGCAUCAAGUGAUGUAUAGUCUCAGCCCAGGAGAUCUACUAGAGAGCGUAAGUUAUGUACCAGGUAUCCAAGUUCAGAUUUUAUUUUAGUUACCAGUGAAAGGGAGUCAGAAAGUUUUCAAGAUGUGUAGGCUACUCCAGAUAGAGAGCACUGGUUAAAAGCAAUGAAAGAAGAGAUGGAGUCAUUGCGAAAGAAUGGUACUAUGAUCUUGUUAAACUUUCAACAGGGAAGAGGCCAUUAAAGAAUAAAUGGGUGUUCAAGUUGAAAAAAGAUGAUGAUAAACUAGUGAGGUACAAAGCUCGAUUGGUAGUAAAAAGUUUUUCUCAAAAAUCAGGCAUCGAUUUUGAUGAGAUUUUUGCUCCAGUUGUAAAGAUGAGUUCUAUUCUAGUGGUACUGAGAUUAGCAGUUAGUUUGAAUCUUAAGCUUGAGCAACUUGAUGUUAAAAUUACAUUUUUGCAUGGUGAUUUACAGGAGGACAUUUAUAUAAAUCAGCCUAAGGGUUUUAAAGUGAAAGAGAAAGAGCACUUAGUUUGCAAAUUAAAGAAAAGCUUGUAUGACUUGAAACAAGCUCCGCAACAGUGGUACAAGAAGUUUGAUUCUUUUAUAGUGAGUCAUAGCUAUAAAAAAAUAGCAGCGGAUUCUUGUAUGUAUGUUAAACAAUUCCCUAAUGGUAACUUCAUUAUCCUAUUAUUAUAUGUUGAUGAUAUGUUGAUUGUAAGACAAGAUGCUAGUAUAGUUUACAGGUUGAAAGAACAAUUGUCUAAGUCCUUUGAUAUGAAGGAUUUAGGUCCAGCAAAGCAGAUUCUUGGUAUGGACAUUAUCUGAGAUAGAAGAGCUGAAAAGCUGUGGUUGUCACAGGAAAAGUAUGUUGAACGAGUGCUUGGUAGAUUCAACAUACAACAUGCUAAAUCAAUUAGCAGUCCACUUGUCAACCAUUUUCAUCUAAGUAAGAAAUCUUGUCUAGUGUCUAAAGAAGAGCAACUAGUUAUGUAUAGUACUCCUUAUUCUUCUGCAGUCGGUUCUUUAAUGUAUCUUAUGAUUUGUACAAGGCUUGACAUUGCUCAUACAGUUGGUGUAGUGAGCAGAUUUUUUUCUAAUCCGAGAAAGGUUCACUGAGAAGCAGUGAAAUGGAUUUUUAUAUAUUUGAGGGGUACCUCAAAAAUGUCCUUGACUUAUAGAGUUUCACAACCAAUUCUAGAAGGGUUUACUAAUGUUGACAUAGCAGGCAAUCUUGAUGGUAGAAAAUCUACUUCAGGGUAUUUAUUCACUUUUGUAAGAGGAGCUAUAUCUUGGCAAUCUAAGUUGCAGAAGUGUGUUGCUUUGUCAACUACAGAGGCUGAGUAUAUUGUAGUAAUCGAAGUAUGUAAAGAAAUGCUUUAGAUGAAACAUUUUCUUCUUGAAUUGGGGUUGAAUCAGAAAGAGUAUGUGGUAUUUUGUGAUAGCCAAAGUGCUUUAGAUUUGAGUAAAAAUACCAUGUACCAUGCUAGAACAAAGCACAUUAAUGUUAGAUAUCAUUGGUUACGUUCAGUGAUUGAAGAAUAGCAGAUGCUAUUGAAGAAAGUCCAUACUGAUAAGAAUGUAGCAGAUAUGUUGACUAAGAUACUUCUCAGGGAAAAGCUUGAGCUUUGCAGUAACUUGGACAGAAUGAGUUCCCUGGCCAAGGUAAGUUUCAAAUGAAACUGCUAUGGUGAUGAAUCUCCUCCUAAUGGGGCUGAAGGGGGAGAUUGUUAAAAAAAUGGGGUCCAGCCUCGUGUAAGUGGUUUUGGAUCAAGUAAAGGCCAUGGGCCUUGAUCUUUCAUUUUACACAGAGCCCUAGCUACUUAAUAAAAAAAAGAUGGGGUUACUUUAAGUGUGUGUCGAAAACUAAGUAGAGAAAGAAGAAAAGCCAGAAAAAGCAGAGAGAAAAAUGAGAAAGGAGAGUUGGUUGAACGGAAGUCGAUCCAUGGUCCGAUUGAGAUGGAACCUUGUCAGGAGGUUUAUGAUUCAAAGUUCUACAUUCUGAACGGUGAAGAUCGGGUUUAAAGCUCUCUAGGAACAAAUCCAAGGUAUAUUUGUUGAGUCACUUAUUUGGUGAGAUUUCUCCAAUUGUUUCUCUAGUUGUUGAUUAGCUCUAGUUUUAGCUAGAGAAGAACUUUGUAUACCUAUUAUUUGAUAGUGAAGAUUUUUUUGGUAGUCCGUGAUUUUUUUUUCCUUUACACUGAAGGAUUUUUCACGUAAAUCUUGAUAUGCUUUAUUUUUCCUGUAUUUUUUAUUAUUGAUUAUUAUCUAUUGCUUUUGUAUUAUUGUGAUUAUUGCUUCAGGCGCAACAAUGCUCGAGGAUAUUAGCUACUUUUAUUCUUGUUUCCGUUGAGUGUAGCAGCAGGGAAGGGAGCUUAGUUUCGUGUGUUAUCUGUUCUUUAUUUUAAAGAUUCCGUCACCCUUUUGUUUCGUUUUGGGUGAGUGUUCGGAGUUCUACAUCCGGUGGUUUGUAUCACCAACUCCAUAUGAAUAAAACUUUGACCUUGCAAAAAAAAAAAAAAAACACAUAUUUCUAAGAUAUAUUAAAAAAUGAGACAAUUUUUUAACCUUAUUAAUGGACCAGAAUUUAAAAAAUUACGCUAUCAGUAUGCGAAAACAACCUCUUUAUGUAAUAUACAUUCCUUUAUUGUUGUUUUUAGUACAAAGAUAAAUACCACAAACCCCCGGCCACAUCACUGGCAACCCUGAGCCCGGCAAAGUGACAAUUUAUUUAUUGAUACUUGAAAAGCCUAUUACAUUUAUUUUUAGACAUAUAUAUAUAUAUAUAAUAGCUUUUGGUCCUUAAAUAUUUCCUGAUCACUUUCUUGAAUUUUUUUGUUCUUUUAGUCUUCAGUGAUUGCCUCAUAUAUCCCUUUAGCAGCUUUAUCAGCUAGAACAUCCGUUAAACCAAAUCCGAAAACCGUUCCAGCAAAUUGAUUGCUCAUUGCAUCCCCCACUUUACAUCGUGUUGCAAAGUCCUCACAAUUGUUAAAUAAAAAGUUUUAUUUCUUUCCGAAGUUUUGGUCUUUGAGGUAACCAAAUGCUGUCUUCAAAACCUGAUCCACCGGCCUGCUGGGGUUAAACACUGCAAGUUCCGCUCCUCUUGAAACACAACUUCAAGUAAGGGACAUUAUAUUCAUAGAAUAGAGUGACUGACCUUCCAGGAAGCACUCGAGGCAGGUUAUAACAAGUCCUAUUCUUUGAGAGCACUGACCACAUCUUUUGCAUGGGGGGUUACUGGUGGAUUUGCCAACUCCCAGGAAGUGAAUAACCGCAUCGUCUAUUUCUUUUUCUUCGUUUCUCGAGUUGGUCACAGUCGCUUUCCCUACGUAUAUGCCUGCAGCCAUGAAAUUAGGGAACCUUAUGUCUAUAUAUAUGUUUAGGAACAUUUCGUGAUUUUAGAAAAUGUGCUAUGAACUUUGAUUUUAGGCAAUAAAUUUAGAUUCUUUGCUUACACAACAGAAAAUUUAGAUACAAACACAUGCCGAAAAUUAAUAUGGUUUGGCCCUCAUGGCCUAUUGCAUCCAUAGAAUCGUUAAAUUUUAGACGAACAUCUAACUUAAAAUCAAUUUGGAUAAAUGAGAUUAUCUUUCCCAUACUCAAUUGUACACAUAGUUUUCACCCAAACAGGGUUGAGGAAUGAAUAUAUAAUAUAUGGUUGGGAUUUGAUUACAAAUUAUUAGUUGUUUGAAAAUGAAAUCAAGGUCCAUCUAGCAGUUGCCGCAAACAUUCAAGUUGGACCACACUACUUGGUUCUUCCUCCCCAUGUGAAAAAGAAAAAAAGAAACGGAAACUGAGAAAAAAAAUUAAUUACAUGGAUAGAAGACUAUACCAUGGUGAAAAUAGAGGUAUAGACAGCAAUCAGAAUAGAUGUGGUCACCAGGCCUGAGGGAAUCGCGUCUCACUGGCAUCUUAGUUUCUCUUUUCUUUUGGGUUGAGCUUAAGUUGGCUACUUCGUAAUAAUCCCAGCUCAUUUAUAGAUGGAAAUGAUAUCCAAAGCGGCUGAGAAGUAACGAAGAAUCAUAAAAAGGUAGCAACCCAACACAAUAUUGUAGAAAAGAAUCCUUUUUUUUUGUUGUAGUAUCAAUUAGUUGUGAAGAGGGGCUGAUCAACCCUUUGAGGUAGAGUGUUUAUGGAUACUCUUAAAAAUUGAAAAAUAAAAAAAAUUUGAAAACAAAGAUUCUCUGAUACCCCAAAAUUUAGUUCUAAAAAUUCUUUUUAUUGAAAAAAUUAGUAAAUCCAUCAAACAGUUUUUAUACAUGUCAUAAGCAUACACUUUUAGAAAAAAAAAUUCUAGAUUCGUCAAUGAUGGUAGGAUCGAUGCCCCGUCCAUUGGGUGUAUACAUUCACUCAAAUUCCCAUUCUUUCGCAAAGCUUUUUCUUUUUUAGGGAGAAACCCAGAGGGAGGAUUAGGGAAUCAAACAAAUUAAGUAAUUAAGAAGAAAAUGUUAUUAUCUUAAGAAGCGGUCGACCGACUAUUAGUGGUACAAUGAAUUUCAUAUUUCGUGUGAAUUCUUAACUUAUUUCUUAAUUCAAAUGGUUCAACCACAUCUUUCGAGAACUAAAUUCACACAAUUAUAAUUUAAAAUGCAACACCCGCAAAUUCUCUUUUUUUAAUUAUUCUUUAGGCUUUGAUCUCUUUUUUAUUAAAAAAAUAAAAGUAUGCAUUUACUUUUAAAUCAUUAUUGAAAAAAAAAAAGUAAUUUGUAUAACCCUUUUGACGCUCUUAAUCAAUAUUGAAGAAAGUUUGAGUUCAAGACGAUGGAAGGUAAGAGGUCCAAACCUCUUCAAACGUGUUCCACGCAUUCACUUUUAAUCUUCAAGUUCGAGUUGUCUAUUUUCUACUUUGGAAUUGAUACUUUAUUAUUAGCCAUAGAUAUAUAGAACCCAAGUCGAAAGUGGAGAUCAUCAAAUAAAGAUAAGACGGAAAAAGGUUCGAAUGCCAGAUAAAAACUUGGUUUCAAGAAUCACUAUAUAAAUCUAUAAUUUUAGUGGUGUACGUGACGCCUUAUAAUUUUAGUGCAUGUAUUCUACAUGAAACAAUUAUCCUAUAUAUAUGGCGUUGGAAUUAAUGCUUGCAGAUGCUUAGUUUAGUGAAGUCAUUAUCAGUCCCAAUUAACUUUCUUGUCUGCCCAAUAUAUGCUUGCUGUUCGUCAUUGGCAAAUUCUACAUGAGGCCUUAUCGCACAAAUCAAGAAUCUAACCCGAAUUAAACAAUUAUAAUCAGAGGUAAGGAAGAUGGACAUAGAAUUAAAGAAAUUUCAAAAAUAUUGUACUGGCUCAACCCUCCGGUUAGGCUACUGCAUAUGACAAAAUCUAAUAUGUUUAGCUUGUUAUUGUAGACAAUCUUUUGUGUCCGGACCCAUUGAGGUCCGGCUCAAUUGGACCCAUCAAUGUUCGGGCCCAGUUGGCCCAUUUGAGUCCGGACCUAAGUGGAUAGCUUAUUUAUUAUUACUAUUAUUAUUACUUUUAUUUUUUUCUUGUUUCCUUUUUCUAUUUUCCUGUUUUACUUUUUUUUUUUAUUUCAAUCCACACGUACACAGAGUGAAUCAUGAUUAGGAUCCCUUGGUCAAAUUCAAUCAAUAAUUGCUAGAAUUUUGGACCUAAAAUCUUAUCUAGACAAAAUGCAAUCUCAGGAUUCAAGCUUGGGAUUAAUUUUGUCCGUUUCCUAAAAUUAUUGUUAAGACUGCCUAUAAAUUAGACUAACUUCUACAGAAGGAACACACAAAAGCACAAAAAAUUUGGAAAGAACUGUGAAAAAAUUUUGGAAAAUACUAGGCAAAAAGGGUUCUAACAGUUCAAUUUUGGGUUCUAGAGUUCAAUUUGGAAUUGUAGGAUCGGUUUUAGGUUUCUGGAUUAGGAUUAGGAUUAGGGCUUAAGACGAUUCUGGGAGUAAUCUGGACAAAAUUUGGAGAAAUUUGAAAAAAAUUUGAAGAAAUCUAGGUUUUCUGAGUUUUUUUGGGUUUUUAGGGAAGAACAUGAAUUUUUUGAUAAAUUUUUCGAUGAGCGUUUGAAGUUUCCGAUAAGAUUCCGAUGAGAUUCUAGAAUCCAACUAGAUUUCCAGAAAUUGGUAGGUUCCGGUUGAAUUUUCUAACAACUUUUUUAGAAACUAGUGAAAUUUCAAUCCCCGAUUGAAGUUUUCGGUGGGCAGCUCUAGAGAGAAGACAGAAAAAAGUUAGAGUAGAGACAGAAGGAACGAAAGGCUUCUGAAGAAAAACGCUGAAGCUUAGCUUUUAUAUGGCAACUAAACGAUGUCAUUUCGGAUAAGCUAGGAUCUGCGCGUAGACCCCGUGACCUACGUGUUGACCCACACCUUGACCGACCCAAUCGCAGUUUUUCUUUUUUUUCAUUUUAUUUUUAUUUUUUGAUUUUAUUUAUUUUUUUUACCUAUUUUCCUAUUUUCUAGUUUUUAAAAAAACAAAACAAAACAAAAGUUACUUUUGUCACCUUUAUUUCCAAAAGAAAAAGAAAAAAUUAAAAAAGAAAAAAUCAAGUAAAAAAAAGAAAAAAAUAAUGCUAAAAAAAAGAAAAAAUGAUACAUAAAUAAAUAAAUAAAUAAAAUCAUUUCAAUAAAAAAAUAUAUAUUUUUAAAUAAACAAAAAUAAUUUUCAUCAUCUAAACUAUUGGAUGAUUGCUUUGAAAUGAGUCUUACCAAACUAUUGGGAGGCUGCACUAAUUCUUUUAAAUAAAAGUUAAUAAAUCCGACAACAAAGCCUUUUCAGAGAGAAACACUAGUCUCCAUGAAUACCUCUGAGAAGAUUGAAUUAUCUUAAAUUACUACCAAACUAUUGGGACAAUUUUAAAGUUAAUUUUUAAUAUUAAAUUAUUUGAUAAAUCAUCAAAAUGAUCAAGGCUUAAAUAAUUUGAAAUCAAACUGGUAUCAUCAUUUGAAUAGGCAUUGUAGGGAUACUACAACCUUCUCUAUGCGUAACCGACUCCCGAACCUAACAUCUGUUUUACAGAUUGGAUUCAAUCAGGUGGCCAAUCACACCUAGACAAAAAAGAUUGGUGACGAUCCAUGUCUAACGGUAAGUCCACGGAUCUAUAUGUCGUGAUAGUUUGACGACUCCGCUAAAGACAAUUGAGAGUCAAGCCAGUAAAUAAUUUCUUAUUAUCCAAGCCUUGCUUAAUAAGUUCGAAAUUAUUUUAUGCCUUCUUAUUGCUUAUAUCGACUUUAUUAUUUGUUUUCCUUGUGUAUACCUACUUAUUUAUUUACUUGAUUAUUUAAUUAUUAUAUAUACAUGUCAUGCAUUUGCAUAACAUAAACCCUCCACCCAACCUCCACCUUUAGGAAAAAGUAAAGUACCUAUACCCUCGUGAGAUUUCAUGUCUCCAUAUGGGCCUACAAAAUACUCCCACUCAGAUUGAGCCCUUUCUACUUAUAGCCUAUAAUGGGUGAGGAUUGACAUGCCUUACUAGUCUGUAAUAGAUAGUGAUAUAGGGAACAAGUUGAGGGCCUUUUAGAAUUAACCCAAACCGUAUAUAGUCAACCUUAAAAACCCAACCAUAGAUAGAGCCUUGUCUUCUCACCCUUUGUAAAAUCCAAAAUUCUAGGUCAUAUUGUUGUCUUAAUUGCUAUGUUUACUAUAUGAAAUAAUUAACUAACCUUUUUGUCUUCUUUAUUUCAUUUCUUCCACAUUCAUGAACAUUUUCACAAAUUGCAUAAUAUUUUUACCUCAAAGCUAUUUCAACAAAAACCCUCAUGGAUUACAUAGAACUUCAAGUUUGUGCAUCAUCUAUGUUGUUCAAAUGUGACUCUCCUAUAAAGGUGAGGAUGGAAUUAAAAAAGAGAUAGCUAGAAUAAAAAGACUAUUUGCCACUUGGUCAUGUCCCUACGCUAUCAAGAGAAGUUUGCCUAUUCCUCAAACAUAAUGAUCUAAAAUGCCUAUUAGAUAUGUGGAAUGGUAUGACCCCUUCAAGGUAGGAAGCUUUUUGUGAUAAGUUUAGGCACAUUGCAUAUCUCAUGUCAAUGGAGAUUGACUACUCACUUAUCAGGAUGAUGGUACAAUUUUUGGAUCCUUCCUACCGAUGUUUCAUUUUUAAUGAGGUUAAUCUAGUACCAACAAUAUAAGAGUAUUCAACUCUGGUGGGUAUGUAUCUAUUAUAUCCAGACAGAAUAUACAUGAAGAAACACAAAUCAGGAAGUUGCAAAAAGCUGGGUCAAAUGCUAGGAGUGGGAAAAAAGACUAUAGAUUCAUACAUUCGAGAGAAAGGAGAUCACAAGGGUAUUUCAUGAGAGGUUCUCCAGGAUUUCAUUAUCAAGCAUCCAGAUGAUGAUCAGGGAAUGAAUGCAUUUGCUUUAAUCAUAUAUGGGUUGGUCAUUUUUCCUAAGGUCUUAGGACACAUUGAGAUAGAAGUGGUGGAUCUAUUUGAGCAGAUUGAAAAGGGGUGUAAUCCUUCACCAGCUAUCUUGACAGAAACUAUCAAAUCUCUAAAUUUUUGUAAGCAGAUGGACAGAGCACGUUUCACGGGCUGUUUACCCUUAUUAUAUGUAUGGAUCAAAAGUCAUUUUGAAUGCAAGAAAAGUGCUUUUACCAAACUUUAUUUCUACACUUGAAAUCCGAUUAGAGAAUUUUGCCAGAGCACCUGACCAGAAGCAAAGACUCGAAAGGAAUGGAAAUAUCUACUACAAAGGCUCACGACUGGUCAGGUAAAAUGGUUAGCUCUAUGGAUGAAUAGGAAACCUAUGUUGUAUCAAUGUGAAUAUGAGACAGGGGUUCCACUUUUAAACCUAUGAAGGUCAACAAGUUAUGCACCAUUGAUGGUAAGGAGACAGCAUAAAACUAAACAAUUUACUCUUAUGACCUGUAAGCUUGGUCAGUUUGACUACUCAUAUGGGGAGCCCAAAACUUACAUGAUUAAAACCUGAAAGAAGCCCAAGAGAGUAAGCCUAGGGCCAUUCACUAAUCGAGUCACUCAGGGGUAUCUAAUUUGGAGAAAUAAAAGGGGUCAGGAGAUUACAUCUAUACCUCAGGAUCAUCACUUAUUAGUGGGCCAAAAGUCGGACAAUAAGCUUUUUAAGUUAGAGCAUGAAAUGAAAAAGAAGAAACUAAAGUAAGAAAUUUUGAAACUACAAAAAGAAAAUGACCAAAGGUAGAACAAAGCAAAAAAAUAAAAAAUCCAAGUCCACAGGAUUUUCAAGGAGUACAGUAAGGCCCAAAAAAUUAUUAAAAAAUGGGAUAAUGCCCUUAAAGAGCUUAAAAAGCUACAACAAGAGCAUAAAAGGUUACGCAUACAGGUAUAAGCCAAAGAAAUAAACAACACAAAGCUGGUUCGUGAAAAUGAAGAGCUAAAAAAAGAGUGUGACUAAAUAGAAAAUGCUUUCAUGGAGAUUGAACAAGAGAAUCAAUGGUUUCAGACUACAUCUAACUCUAACAUCAAAGUUGAAUGAACAAAAAAAUCAUGUUAGAAUCCUCACAGAAAGGCACAAAGAGCUAUCUUAUCAGGUAUGGUGCAACAAAAGAAAAGGGUUAGAAAGAUAGAGGUACAUAAAGCACCUCAUCGCUCAGAUAGGCAAGGCUAUGAUCAAAGCAAGAGAGAUGGCGAAAAAGGUUGAGACAUUAAAAGCUUCAAUUACACCAGCAGGAAAGCAUGGACAGAAGCUAUUGAACUUCAUUAAGGAAACUAAAUACCAAUAUAAGCAAGUUAGGCAUUUUUAUAGAGAAGCACUAUUAGGUUUGAUAUAAAUAGACUCUUGUGGAAUAAAUGAAAGUUUUCUUUUGUUAAAUUUCUUUUAAAGGGAAAAUAUGUUCUUUUUUCCUCUUUUCUUUUCUUUUUCAUGCAUUUGCAUCAUGCUCAUUCAUUUAUUCAUAACAUUAUCAUUGAAUUUUUAAUUAUGGUACUAAUAUGCAAGAAUAGCUACACAUCAAUACAAUACUUGGGCUCGAGCUAGAAAGAUGAAACAAAACAAUACAAGCCCCCUUGAAAGGAUAAAAAAAGCCCAAGAGGCACUAGAGGAAAAGUUUAGCCAAAUUCUAAAGGUCCUAAAAAAGGUAAAUAGAGGGAAAUCAAUGGAAAAAGAUACUUUAUAAGAAGCUACUAACUCAGCAUAUCCUCUAAGCUUCGGUCCACAACAAAAUUAAAUCGCACCACUCUUCCAAUCUAAAUAGGCAACUUUUCCAAAAUACAACUACCUAAGAAUGACCUAUACACCAGGUCAUGAAAAUGUCCGAAGUUAUAAUAAUCAUGUCUUUGCUAAAAAGGCAGCUGAGCCCAUUCAACUCCCUACUGUAAAUGAAGUAAAUGAGAAAGAAAAGACACAGAUAACUAUGCCUUUGGAGAAUUCUAAAACUGAUCAGGCCAUGAACAAGCUCGAGGAAAGAUUGUGGGCUAUUGAAGGAAUUGAUUUUUACAAUUCCAUGGAUGCAGUGGGACUUUGCCUAGUACCAGAUGUGGUGAUGCCACUAAAGUUUAAAGUAUCAGAGUUUGAUAAGUAUGACGAUACCAAGUGUCCUAUCACGCAUAUCACCAUGUACUGUCGUAAAAUAAACACAUGUUAGUAAUGAGAAGUUGCUUAUGCAUGUCUUUCAAGAUAGUUUAAUUGGGUCUGUAAUAAGAUGGUAUGUCCAGUUAGAUGGGACCCGAAUAAAGAUAUGAAAAGAUUUGACCCGAUCUUUCAUCAAUCAAUAUCACCAUAUUAUCGAUAUGGCUCUGGACUGCCCUUCUUUGCAAGCAAUAGAAAAGAAAACAUCCGAAUCUUUCAAGCAAUAUGCCCAAAAAUGGCGGGGUGUAACUGCUCAAGUACAACCUCCCUUAACAAAAAAAAAAACUAUUAUGCUAUUUAUGAGCACUCUAAAAUUACCCUAUUAUGAAAAGAUGAUCGAAAAUACGAUUAAAAAUUUUAUUGAUAUAGUGAUUUCAUGAGAGAUUAUUGAAAACGCUAUUAAAAAUGGUAAGCUUGAAGGAAGUGAGUUUUCUAAAAAAGUACCUAAGAAAGAGGAAAAUGAGACUCUAGCUGUGAGUCUUGAAAAGCAGUAAUUCAGAAGUUACUCUCGAUCUACCUACCCUACAUACCAUCACACAGUGAACCAUACCUCUGCAUCUAUUCGACAUCUUAUCCAUCUUCUCUAAGAUCUCUUGCCUACCUGGUCAGUACUACAAGUAAUACUAGGAAAACAUGAAUCAGAGAAAGACCCACUUUUGAUUCUAUACCCAUAAGCUAUACAGAGUUAUAUCAAGAACUUUACAAGAAUCAUCUAAUUGCUCAUGUCCUUACUAAACAACCCAAACCUUCUUAUCCCAAAUGGUAUGAUGUCACCACCCAUUACGACUACCAUUAUAGAGUAACAGGUCAUUCUACUGAAAAUUACCUUUAAAAUAAAAAUUACAGCAUCUGAUUAAAUAGGGACUGAUAAGUUUCGAUACCGGUGAGAGCUCAACACCUAAUUUUAGUAGGAAUCUCUUUGCCUAAUCAUACAGUCAAUGCCCUGGACAAAGAUAAAAGGCAUGCAAAAAAAAGGGUAUAAGAGAUUAAAAUGCCAUUUAACCAACUCUACGAUGUCUUAUAUGAAGUUGGACUGAUACAACCAGUGGCUCCAUUCACACAUGGGAGGAUGCAUCCCCAAUCAAAGGUGUAGGUAUCACAGUGCAGCUCCAGGACAUUCUAUUGAAAAAUAUCGAUAAUUUCACCAGGAUGUGCAAAAAUUAAUAAACUCUUACUAGAUAAAGUUAUAUGAGAAAUCAUGAGCCUCAAAAAAUAUUGUGGUGGCUAUGACAGAUAGAUGGGUGCCAAAACCUAUCACUAUACGUUGUAAGGAGAAGCCACAAUCAACUGGGAGUAAGUUUGUUCCCAAACCAGUAGCUUUCAAAGUCCUCCACCCAUUUUCUUAUAAAGAUAAUAAAGCUAUGCCCUGAAGAUAUGAAUGUGAGGGGAUGACUCAAGGGCAGCAAAAGUUAAGAGCCAAAACUACCAAUAUAACAGGACUAAGGGCAUAACUAGAAGUAAAAGAUGUUAUACUCUAGAGACUUUGAAAAAAGCAGAAAAGGAAAAAAAAAAAAAAAAGCAAACUAAAUUAGAGAUCCCAAAAAAGGAUACUCCAAAGUCCGUACCUAAAAAAAAAACUUAUGAGUUUUUGAAGCUAGUCAAGCAUAGUGAGUAUUCUGUAGUGGAGCAAUUGAAUAAGAUGCCAGCUAGAAUUUCUAUAUUAUCACUUCUCCUGAACUUUGAACCACAUUGCAACGCUUUGUUAAAGGUAUUAAAUCAUGCUUAUAUGGGUCAUAAUGUAUCUGUAAAAUAUGUGAAUCACUUGACAGGGAAUCUAAUGAUGCCACAUCACAUCUCUUUCGGCGAUGAUGAGAUUCCACCGAAAGGUAAAAAGAAUACUAAGACAUUACACAUCACUGUCAAGUGUAAAGGCCACAUAGUAGCUAAAGUCUUUAUUAAUAAUGAAUCUGCUAUUAAUGUCAUGCCGGUUUUCACUCUAGUUAAGCUACUCUUUGAUAUGUCUCAUAUCCAAAAUAGUCAAAUGGUGGCCCGAACAUUUGAUAGGACUAAGCAAAAAGUCUUAGGAAACGUUGAACUGCUCAUCCAGAUUAGACCAUGAGUCUUCAAUAUAAAAUUUCAGAUCAUGGAUAUAUCCCCAUCAUAUAGCUGCUUAUUGGGAAAAUCAUGGAUCCAUAAAGCAGGGGAUGUCCCUUCUUCAUUGCACCAAAAAAUCAAAUUCAAUGUAGAAAGGCAAUUGGUGAUUGUGGCCAGGGAAGAAUAUUUGCUAUGACCUAACCCAUAAAUGCCCUAUACGUCAAAACAACAAAAGAAUCAUUGAAGUGUUUGUACAGAUCUUUUGAACCUAUUAAUGCAGUAAGCGAAGGGUUCAAAUUCAAUUGAAUUGUGAUCAGAUUCUUAACAAGGGUUAGAGUAUCAGGUUCGGCCUAAGAAAAAACUCGCAAGGGAUAAGGGAGAUUCCUAAGAUUGAAGAUUAUAGUUGCAGAUCUGAAUUGGGUUAUGAAACAGAAGAAAUAUAGAACAAUAGCAGAAAGGCAAAAAAAGAAUCCAUGGUCUUUCCCUAUUUGAAUGAAACCUUUAUUCCUGGAGGAUACAUGCACUAGAGAGCUGAAGAGUACAUAAAAAAAGAACUAACAUGGGAAAAAGCUUUUGCUAAGCUAUCCAUUCAUAUGGUGGAUGAUGAAAGCCAAGAUAAGGAAACCUGGGUUUACCCAUACCCGUCAGGAUAUGAAUUACAAAAUUGGAGGGUUAUCCAAAUGCCUAUUGUUUCUUAUUUUCCUUUAAUGUCCCCAAAUAAAUGUGAAGGUAAUCAUGACAACGAUCUAAGAUUUAGCUUUGAAAAUUCAAUUAAUACUGAUGAACUUGAUACUAAAAAAGAUUCUGAAUAUUACACUUUAACUUCGGAUUUAAUUAGGCUAAUUGAACAGGAAGAUAUAUCUAUCGAGCCUCAUCAAAAGGUUGUUGAACUAAUCAAUUUGGGUGAUGCCAAAAACAAGAAAGAAGUCAAGAUUGGUACUUCAUUCUUAGUUGUUGACCGCCAGUGAUUAGAGGAGUUGCUCCGGGAGUUUGUUGAUGUAUUUACCUAGUCUUACCAAGAUAUGCUUGGACUAAGUACCAAAAUAGUGAAACAUAGGCUACCAUUGAAGCCAGAAUGCAAAUCGGUUAGCAAAAGCUAAGAAAAAUGAAAUCGAAGAUGCUGUUCAAAAUUAAAGAGGAAGUUAAAAAGUAAUUUGAUGCAGACUUUUUGUAAGUGACCAAAUAUCCUGAAUGGGUGGCUAAUAUAGUACUUAUCUCAAAAAAAAGAUAAAAAUAUACGGAUGCGUGUAGAUUAUAGACAUUUGAACAAAACUAGCCAUAAAAAUAAUUUUUUAUUACCUCAUUGAUACUUUAGUGGAUAAUACAACCCGACAUUCGAUAUUCUCUUUCAUUGAUAGAUUCUCUAGCUAUAAUCAGAUAAACAUAACUCCAAACUACAUGAAAAAAAUCAUUUUUAUCAUAUGAGGAACUUUUUGUUACAAGGUCAUGCCUUUUGGAUUAAAAAAUACUGGGACAACCUAUCAAAGGGCCAUGGUAACACUUUUUCAUGAUAUGAUACACAAAGAGAUUGAGAUGUACGAAAAUUAUAUGAUUACGAAAUCCAGAAAGGGAGAAAAUCAUGCAUUUAACCUUAGAAAAUUAUUUGAAAGGUUAAAAAAGUUUCAACUCAAAUUGAAUCCAACCAAAUGUACAUUCGGAGCCAAGUCAGAGAAAUUGUUAGGAUUUAUAGUUAGUGAAAGAAGAAUAGAAGUGGAUCCAAACAAAAUUCAGGCUAUUCAAAAUUUAUCUCCACUAAGCACACAAAAAGAGGGUUGAGGUUUCUUGGGCAAAUUGAACUAUAUAUCCCGAUUCAUUUCUCAACUCACUCUUAAAUGUGACCACAUUUUCAAACUCCUUCGAAAGAAUAAUCCUAAAGAAUGGAAUGAACAAUGCCAAAAAACUUUCAAUAAAAUUAAGCAAUACUUAUCAACCCUCUCAUAUUAGCACCCCAUGUUUCGAGAAAACCAUUGAUCCUAUACAUAAUGGUAUAUGAAGGCUCAAUAGGAUGUGUGAUGAGACAACAAGAUGAAUCCAACAAGAAAGAAAAAGUUAUUUAUUACCUGAGCAAGAAAUUUAUGGAGUAUAAGUCCAAGUAUUCAUCAUUAGAAAAAAUGUGUUAUGCUUUGACUUGGACAACUAAAAGACUCAAGUAAUACAUGCUCUACCACACAACUUGGCUCAUAGCUAAACUGCAUCCCAUUAAAUACAUCUUCGAGAAACCAUCACUACCAGAAAGAAUCGCAAGAUGGUAAAUAAUGCUCUCCGAAUAGGACAUAGUAUAUGUGAACUAAAAAGUAAUCAAAAGAAGUGUCAUUGCUGAAUUCUUGACAAACAAGGCCGUUAAUGAUUAUGAGCCCAUGAAGCUUAAUUUUUUAGAUAAGGAAUUAAUGGUCAUCUCAAAAUUAAAAGAAGAUGAUGAUAAGGAAAAAACAUGACAGAUAUAUUUCGAUGGGGCCACUAAUGCCAUGGGGCAUGGGAUUGGAGUAGUUUUGAUAUCUCCAAUGGAGCACUACUAUCCUGUUACAGCAAGAUUGAAUUUUAAUUGCACCAAUAAUGUAACUGAGUAUGAGACUUGUGUCAUGGGACUACAUGCUACUUUAGACAGAAAAAUUGAAACAUUAAAAGUGUUUAGGGAUUCAACUUUAGUCAUUUAUCCAUUGAAAAGCGAAUGGGAAACAAAGGAUUCCAAACUCAUCCCUUAUCAUAAAUACAUUUUAAAGUUGUACAGAUAGUUUAAAAUAAUUCAGUUUGAACACUUGCCUUGGAAAGAAAAUUAAAUUGCAGAUACAUUGGCUACCUUAACCGUAAUGGUACAAAUUGAUGACACUACAAAGAUUUAACCUAUCAAAUUGGAUAUCAAAGAUAUGCCAAUACAUUAUGCCAACUUGGAAAAGGAGAAAGAUGGCCGCUUUUGGUAUUAUGAUAUUAUGCGAUAUUUAAAGAAUCAGUAGUAUCUAGAUCAAGCAACAAAAAAUGAUAAGAGAAUCUUGAGAAUGUUAGCUAUAGGAUUCUUCCUAGACAGAGAAAUUUUAUACAAACGAAGUAAGAACCAAGUGUUAUUACGCUGUGUAGGCACUUCUGGGGCCAAAAAUAUUAUUGAGGAAGUUCACAAUGGCACAUGUGGAGCACAUGCAAAUGGGCACAUGAUGGCAAGACAGGUUAUGCGAACAAGAUAUUACUAGUUGACAAUAAAAAAAGAUUACAUCGAUUAUGCUCGAAAAUGCUAUAAAUGUCAGAUUUAUGCUGACAAAAUUCAUGCUCAACCCAGUGUUUUGCAUGUCAUAGCACCACUUUGGCCAUUUUCUAUGUGAAGGAUGAAUAUCAUUGGACCUAUCACACCAAAAGCCUCAAACGAAAAUAGAUUCAUUUUUGUGAUGAUUGAUUAUUUCACUAAACAGGUCGAAGCUUCUUCUUUCACAACCGUGACUAGAUCCAUGGUUUGUAAAUUCAUCAAAAGGAAAAUAAUCUACAAAUAUGGGCUCCCAGAAAGAAUUAUCCCAGACAAUGCAAAGAAUUUGAAUAGCAAGAUGAUGCAAGAAGUAUGUGUUCAAUUCAAAAUCAAACACCAUAAUUCAGCUUCAUAUCGUGCAAAAAUGAAUGGGCCAGUAAAAGCUGCAAAUAAAAACAUCAAAAGGAUUCUUAAAAAGAUGAUUGAAACAUACAAGGAUUGGCACGAGAAAUUACCUUUUGCUCUACAAGCAUAUCAAACUUCUGUGCGCACCUCUACUAGAGCAACUCUUUUUUCCUUGGUUUAUGAUAUGGAAGUUGUGUUGCCAGUAAAAGCAAAAAUCCCAUCUCUAAGGGUCCUAAAAGAAAUGGGAUUAAAAAAAGCUGAAUGGAUUCAUGAGCACUAUGAGCAAUUAAACUUUAUUGAGGAGAAGAGAUUGAUAGCACUAUGCGAUGGCCAAUUGUACCAAAGGAGAAUGAUAAAAGCUUAUGACAAAAAGGUCAAAUCUCAUCAGUUUCGAAAAAAAAAAUUGGUGUUGAAAAAAAUACUUCCAAGACCCCGAAUUGAAAAGGACCAUAUAUGGUAAAAAAAACAUUUUCGGGAGAAACUUUAAUCUUGUUAGAAAUGGAUGGAGAUGAACUUCCUGGUUCUAUCAAUUCUGACGCAUUAAAAAAGUAUUUUGUUUGAUUCCAAAACAAAAAAAAACUCAAAAAAAGAGUUCAAAUCGAAAACCCGAAAGGGUGAUUUGAAUCCAAAAACAUAAAAAAAAAGAAAAAAGAGUUUAAGUUGAAAACCCAAAAUGACAACUUAGAUCCAAAGAAAGAGGUUCGGAUUGAAACUCUUGAAUUGGCAUCACUUAGGAAGGCACACCAGGGAUAGUAAAUUCCAAAAAGCUUUGAAGUGUUAGAGCAUCAAGUUAUGAUUAAGUUUUUGAAGGAGAUCCCAGAUUUGUUAUCAUGGUUAUCUAAUCAUUUAUCUUGGGGCAUUGCUACCCGAAAUAGUUACUCCUAAAUACUCUCAUUUUAUAUCUAUACCAUCAUUUGUAAUUUAUUGUUUAUCCAAAUAAAUGAAAGCUAUCUUAUUAUUCUCUUAGUCCUAUACAUUGCCUUUUUUCUUUAUACCUUGGCAUGAAUGAAAAAAAUGCAUAACUUGCAGCCUUGCACUUUGAAAUUGGGAUAGUGAUUAAUAACUGAACAAAAUCGUAAGAAGUUGUGUGUUGCCUCGAAGAAUUAAAGGAGAUAAAGGCAAAUGAUGAAUGCCUCCACAAAAAAAGGGAAAUUGACUUUCAUGACUUUUUUGGGAUAAACAUUUAGGCUAAUGAAAGAUGGUUUCUUUGCUAAAGAUGAGCCUCCAUGUUGAUGAAAAAUAAUUUUUUUGCCAAAUAUGAAAGAUGAUUUCUUCGCUAAAAUGUACAAUGAAGAUAAAUAUUCAAGAUAAUGGAAGAUAAUUUUUCUGUUAAAUGUGUGCAGCAACGAGAAUGCAGAAGCCCUAGUACCAUAAUUGAUGUUUCAUUUGCAAAAGACAUGCACUUGCAUUAUCUAUUCAUCUGAUCUUGGCUCAGUUUGAAUCAUUUCUUAUGAUCUAUGGUUCUGUCUCGAUUAUUUAAUUUCAAUCUCGAUUCAGUCUUGGUCACCUUCCAACUUACGGCAUCGUUCCAAUCAUUUGAUCUCAACUUAAGUCAGAUCAUCUUCAUACUCGAGACAUCAAUCCACUCAUUUUUUACAUCGACUCGAUCUUGAUUGCCUCUAGACUCGCGACAUUGUCCCAAUCAUUCGAUAUCGACUUAGGUCAGAUCAUCUUCAAAGUCGCAACAUCAAUCCUUGACUAAGUUUUGGUCACCUUUAGAUUUGCAACACCGUCCCCGUCAUCCGAUCUUGACUUGAGUCAAAUCAUCUUCAAAUUCGCGACAUCAGUCUGAUCAUUUAUUUACAACAUCGACUCGGUCUUGGUCACCAUUAGACUUACGACAUCAUCCCAGUCAUUUGAUCACGACAUUAUCCCAAUCACUCGAUCUUAGCUCAGGUUAGAUCAUUUUACUUUCAACUCAAGGUUCACCUCCAGUUGAUUUUACUCUCUGAUUUGACUUGAACAGAACGAAUGUCUAGGUCUUUGCAUCACAUUUGUUUAACAAAGAUAUGUAAAGAAAAAUAACUGUAGACACGCAUUUGUGUCCAAGCCCAUUGAGGGCUAGACCCGAUUAAGCCCAUCAAUGUUUGAGCCCAGUUAGGCCUAUUUGGGUCCAGACCUAAGUGGAUAGCUUAUUUUAUUUUUAUUAUUAUUUUUUUAUUUUAUUUUUAUUUUUUCUCUUUUCUUUUUUUUGUUUUCCUAUUUUACUAUUUUUCUUUUUUUUUUUUGUUUCAAUCCACUCUUGCACGAAAGAAUGAAUCAUGAUUAGGAUCCCCUAUUUAAAUUCAAUCAAUAUUUGCUAGAAUUUUUGACCUAAAAUCUCAUCUAGAUAAAAUGCAAUCCCAGGAUUUAAACCUGAGAUUAAUUAUAUCCGUUUCUUAAAAUCAUUGUAAUACUGCCUAUAAAUUAGACUAAUUUCUACAAAAGAAACAUACAUAAACACAAAAAAUUUGAAAAGAAAACAUAUGAAAAAAAAUCUAAAAAAUACUGGACAAAAAAGGUUCUGAAGUUCAAUCUAAAAUUGUGAGAUUGAUUUUAAGUUUCUUGGUUAAGAUUAAAGCUUAGGACAAUUAUGGAAGUAAUCUAGGCAAAUUUUAAAAAAAUCUAAAAAAAUUCAAAAAAAUAUGAGUUUUCUGGUUUUUCUUAAUUUUUAAAGAAGAAUAUAAAUUUUUUGAUGAAUUUUUCAAUGCCAUUUCAAGUUUUCGAUGAGAUUCUAACGUGAUUCUAAAAUCUAACCAGAUUUUCAGAAACCAAUAGAUUUCAAUUGAAUUUUUCGAUAACUUUUUCAAAAACCGAUGGAAUUCCAAUCUUUGAUUAAAGUUUUCAAUGGACAACUCUAGAGAGAAAGCAGAGAAAAGUUGAAGUAGAGGGAGAAAAAACAAGACUUACGAAAAAAAAUGUUAACUUAGCUUUUAUAUGACAAUUGAACGACGUUUCGGAUAAACUAAGAUCUAAGCGUAAACCUGAUAACCCACAUGUUAACCCGCACCUUGACCCGACCCAAUCGCAAGUUUUUUUUUUUAUUUUUUUAUUUUAUUUUAUUUUAUUUUUUACCUAUUUUCUUAUUUUUUGGUUUUAUCUUAAAAAAACCAAAAAAAGUUAUUUUUGUCAUCUUUAUUUCCAAAAGAAAAAUAAAAAAUAAAAAAAAGAAAAAAUAAUAAUGCUAAAAAAAAGAAAAAAUGAUACAUACAUACAUAAAUAAAUAAAAAUCCUUUCAAUAAAAAAUAAUUUUCAUCCUUUAAACUAUUGAAAGAUUACUUUGAAGUUAACCCUACCAAACUAUUAGAAAGCUGCACUAAUUAUUUUAAAUAAAAGUUAAUAAAUCCGACAAUAAAACCUCUUCAAAAUGAGAUAAUAGCCUCUAUGAAUACUCUCGAAGUGAAAAAAUUAUCCUAAAUUACUACCAAACUAUUGGAACAAUUUUAUGGUUAAUUUUUAAUAUUAAAUUAUUUGUUAACUAAUCAAAAUGAUCAAUACUUGGAUAAUUUGAAAUCAAACUAAUACCAUCUUUUGGAUAGGUGUGAGAUGCUACAACCUUCCCAUACAUAACCAACUCCCGAACCUAAAAUUUAUUUUGUAGAUCGAAUUCAAUCAAUGGACCAAUCACACCUAAAUAAAAAAUACUAGUGACGACUCCCUCUAAUCCAUGUCUAACAGUAAAUCCACGAAUUUAUACGGUAUAACAGUUAUAAUUCACACAUUAAAUAGAAUACAACCUACAGCAAUCCAUACUUAAUCCAGUUCAGAAAUUUUAGCAUCAAGACACAUCAAACUCAAACAAUCUUGCUUAGUACCCGUAGUUUGAACCAUAAACAGAGCCAUAGCCCCCAUUAUGGCCUGCAUGUCCUGGAUUGGAUGGUGGCGACGCAUAUACAGAACUAUGAGCCGCAUAAGGAUUAUAAGCUUGGUCUGCUGCCCCACCUGGUUGUGCCUGAGCAGGAGCUGCAGCUUCAGCCAUAAAAUUCUGCAAUAUAAUAUAUGCAAUAUCAGUAUUUAACCGAGCCGGAUCAAUUGAUAAUAAUCAGUAGCUAUAGUAUUCUACUCAAUAAAUUGCAACCGAUAGUAACCCAAGGAAGCAAUGUUCUGACAACCGAUAAAACACAAAGCCUUCACAUGCACAAAGAGAGAGAGAGAGAGAGAGAGAGAGAGAGAGAGAGAGAGAGAACGAACAAAGUCAGAAGAUCAUCUAGUGAAAACAUUAGCAUGAUUAACACCAGCUCUAUUACACAAUUAUUCCACUUAGAAAGCUACAUAGAAAUGAGGUUUCAAAAACAUCAUUACAAGGGCCUCUCAUUGUUUUACUCCCAUAAAUCAUAUUAGUGAAAACUCUAUCUUAUGCAGCCCUCUAUGAUCAUGUAUCAGACUGAAACUGGUCAAAACCAUCAGAAAACACAUAAUUUAACAUCUAUGUUAUAAAAUGCUUCUUUUCUAGGUAGGACAAUAAUAGACAUGAUAGAUAGGACCCAUGGUAACUAUUAGCAGAGGUGUAAAGUCAAAUUACAGAGACACUGACCAAGCCUCCAAGCAGGUGGAAAUAGCAUUAGAAGGAAAUCAGCAGCAUAAGCAAUGAAAAAAAAACAUAUAUACUGUUUCCAAUAUCUAGCAAAUAGAAAAAGAAUGACCAAAAAGGUUCAGAAGCCAGGGCAAAGGACAUUGCCUGUAUCAGUUGCUGAGCAGUUUGAACUUGUGAAGCAGUUCCACUUAUUUCGACUGUCAUUUCACCAGGAACACCUCUAGUUUCUUGAAUGGUGACAGUUGCCCCACUAGCACGUCGAAUAUAGCUAAUACUUGCACCAGCUGUCCCAAUAACAGCAUCAACAUAAGAUAGCGGAAUUUGCAUUUGCUGAGUGACCUGCAAAGAAAAGAAACAGAACAUUUUAGGAUCCGGUUUGGUCAAGCAAGCCAAGACCAUUAACCGACUUAAAACUUUAAAGUAGUAUUUGGUAUCAAUUUGAAGAUCACCAUGAUAAUGUAAUCACAGAUGUGAUCUUAUCACUCAUAAUUUAAAAUUAUUUAAUUUCUUUAAUAAUCAUUAAUUCAUAAAAAUUAAAAAACAUAUAUGAUAUCUCCAAAAAGCAAAUAUUAUUUUAUUUUUUUAAUUCAUAGGAAUUUGAAAUAUCAUUUUAUUUAAAAGUACGAAAAUAUCCACGCAUAUUUCAAUAGGUACACAAGUUAUGAUUUUAAUGUUAUUUAAAGAUAAUUUGUAAAAUAUAAUAAUAUUUUAUUUAUUUUAUAAUAAAAUAUAAUUAAAUUGUUAAAUUAAUAAAUAUAUUUAUUAAUUAGAUAAAUUAUGUAAAAAAAAAAAUAAAAACAAAUCUAUUCAAAUCAUAAUAAAAGAAAAAUAAAAAAUUAUAUUAUAUAUAAAACAUUAAAAAAAAUUAAAAAAAGUACACAAAUUAUUUCUUAACUUGUUAAAAUGAAUAUUAGUUUGAAAAAAUAAAAUUUUAUAAUAUAAAAUAAUUAUAAUUUUAAGAGGAAGCAAGCUUUUAAUUCAUAUAUUAAAUAGGUAAUAUUGACUAUUGUUAAUUUUAAAUAUUAUUUUAUCUCAGUGGUAAAAGUUUUUCACCGUUUUAAAUGAGAAUUAGAUCACCCUCCAGACAAUAAUCAGAUCACUCUCAAUGAUCCAAAAUCAAAAUCACUAUCAUGUAAGAUCACCAAGUGCAUACCAAAUACGAUUAUCUAAUCACUGUGUAAUUGACCAAAAAAAUCACUUCGUAUAGAUUACUAUGGUUUUUGGAGAGAUUACCCCAAACUAAACACUACCUAAAAGAUUGGAAACACCUUGUAGUCAGGAGCCUAAAAUUAAAAUUAUGCCAAGUCCAACAAUCUCUAAACUAACAACCAAAAAAUCUACCAACAGCCAAAAACAAAUGGGUAGAUCAAAAGAUGAGGAAGCAUGGAUCACUACAAUGCAAGAACAAGAGAGGCUUGCUAAAACAUCCCCAUCCAUGCCCUUUCAGGCUGACGCAGGCAACUUACUCCACAUGGAAUUCUAUGCUAAAAUUCAACAAACAAGCACUCCCCAUGACUUAAACAAUCCAAACCAAGAACCAAGGAAUCACAUUAAUAGUAGCUGUAUAUCAAGCUCCAAAGCAUCUUUUUCUCAAGUCGCAUGGAAAUUAGAGGGUUGGAGAAAAAGGGGCCACCAGGUAAGCAGUGGUAUGGAAUUACCUGUGUGAUCAUUGAUGAUGCAGUCUGUGGAUUUGAUGAUGCAUGGGCACCCAAUGGCGCUUCUCUUCCAUAGGCAGAAAUACCCAGAUGUGGUUGUUUCUCCAUAGAAGGCAUAUCAGCAGGAGGGUAGUAAUUGUCAUGUUGCCGUGGAGGUGGCAUGUACCGAGGAUUGUGUCCAAAACCAGCACCUCCACUAGCAUUUGGAGGGACACCUUGAGGUGGACCCCAGGAUUGAUGAGGUGGCAUGUGGUCCAUCUGAGGAUUAGACAUUUGCAUCUGGUAGAAACAUGUAACAGAAUUUCAUUACAUUCUAUACACUAACAGAGGCACAAUUAACCGGUAGGUCAACCAAAAAAAUAGAAAGCCCGUUACAUGCAUUCAAAUAAAUGAUUAUACUACGGUCCACUAAAACUUCCUAGAGAUGACAUGCAAUUAGUUCCCAACCGCUUGUGACACAGCGCUUCUCCACAACUUCAACCCCCUAUCAUCUUGAAGACAAAGAUUGGAAAGUCUUCGCAACAAUUUAUUUAACAAAGUAAAAAAGAAAAAAAAGAAAUUCAAAAAUUAUUAUGAAAAAAUUACCAAUCAAAAGCAGAAAAACAUACAAAUGAAAUCCUUGAACAAAAGGAUGAGUAUUGAGAUUAUCAACAAAGGAUGCAAACCUAAAUAACGUUCAAAUUAUCAGCCAUUGGAAUAAAAACCUUAUUCUUGAAUUUGGAUAGAAAUCAAGACAGUCAUAUUCUCAACAUUAUAAUUUGAUUUGAGAGAACCAGUAACAUUAUUCACCCACAACUUAAUGAAACACACACAAACACACAAUCACACAUUCACACAUUUCACAUACAAGGAACAAUAUUAAAUGCUAUUAAGAUAGACACUUGAAAAUAGUUUAUGUACAUUGAUCAUAAAACUCUUCCUGCAAUAUCAACAAUUAGAUAACUACUACAACCUGAAAAAAUGACAAAUUUUUCACUCUAAAGGAAAAGAAAAAAAAAUGUGAGAAACAAAAUCCUGAGAAGAAAACCUGCUCCAAGAACUCUAACAAUGCAAUUAGAAGAUUCUUGAACAGAUUUGACAGUUGUUCCUUGUUUUCCAAUCAAACUUCCAGCUUGUGAUGCAGGGACUAGCAGCCUUGUUGAAACCUUGGUUCCGACAGCUGUAGGUGCGUGAAAUGAAUCACCUUCCAAACCAUCUACAAUACGUUUAUGGACCCUCAAAAGCCCAUCCAUAGCAGGGGGAAGAGAAGAAUCAGGCUCCUCCUUUGCAGAUAUCAUUACCUGUUGACAAAAUAGUAGCAUCAGCACAAAGGCUAACAUGUUAAGAUUCAUGGUCCACAUGCCCAAAUAAAAUUGGGAAGAGAAAUUAAGAAACUAAUAAAUACCUCAAUUUUAUUGCAUCCACCAGCAAAUAAGGACAAAGAGGUCAAAAUAUGCCAUAUCGGAUCAGAUUCAAGACAAUCUAUAACAUAACAUUAAACUCUUUUUGUUCGAAGGAAAAAUUACUUGAUUUUGUUCAACAAUGACAGAUUUUUACUAAAAUUGUUUUAUUUCAGCAGGACUAUAACUUUAUCUUAGUUGAGUUACUUUUUUCCAACAUACUGUCCAUGUAUCAGUGCAAACUACCAGCCUUGUCUGAAGAAAGGGAACAGACUUAUUAACCAAGCUGUUUUAAAAUGUUAAAUUUUGCAAGUUAUUUGGAUCAUAGAUUUUGAAUUUUAUUAGGAAAUAUAUCAUACAUGCAUAUACAAUAUUAUAUCAUACAUGCAUAUACAAUAUCCAUAUUAUUGAGAGAGUUUUCACACGACUUUGGGUAAAUUUAUACCAUAAUUAUCGUAGGCAUAUGUAUGAUGGUUACAAAUGAGAAUUUAAAUUUAGCUUGAUUUCCAGGGAUCUUAGAACACUUUCCACGGGUUCCUUUAAGAUUUUCAUUUUAGAAUCUGAGGCAAGACACCAAUCAUCCAGGUUCUGAAGUUACCAGAGAGAAAGCGGAGCUUCUUGAUAUGGUUGUUUGUACAAGAUGUGUCCGUUAAUUCAGAUCAAACUUUCAGCACUUUGAAAUGCUCAAUGUUGAUCCCUGCAAUCUGAGACUUUGGUACCUCAAAAUUGGAGUAUUAUUGAUGAUUGACUCCUUGCCUUAAAAUUUGCGAACGAAACCUGCACAGACUCAUUCUUGUUAUUGCAAUAAAGGGAACUGUAUUUGUAUUUUAUUGAUUGCUUCUUGUGGCCUUCCUUACUGUCUUCUUCAAUUACUCAAAUCUUUAAACGAUAUCAUGCCUCAGGAAUGUAAUUGACUGCCAAUGUGUCGAAACUUUAAAAAUUGAUGAACAAUUAUUAUGUAAGAAAGAAUUAUAUUUAUUCAAAUUACUGCAAUGUGAAGCACAUUAAAACUUACAACCAUUAAUUUAGCACUUCCAUUCUUCUUACUAUUUAUUUAACGUUUUUCUUAUAUACAUUCUUCAUAGAAUUUAUUUAGAUUAGAAAGGAAUACUUAAAAGCUUAAUGUUGCCUUGGUGAUGUAUAUUUAAGAUUUCCAUUUUUUAUUAUUUUCAUGUUUUCUGGUAGAUUAAUUAAACCAAUAUAUCAUGUACAUAAGCAGUCCUAAACUAGAUGAGAUCUAGCACAAGUCAAAGAGCAGACUUUAUUAUUUUCUAUGGUGAAAAUCAUUUCCAUGUCAUUGUACAACUACAAUACAACAUGGCCUCAUUCUGAGCACAAAAUAGCAAAUAAAUGCACAUGAAAUCUCAAACAAAUAAAAAGACAACAGCAAAGUGUCCAACAAGAAUCAGAAGAUACACAGAAAGAAAAAGCAGGUAAAGAAAUCCCCUGCAAUGACUGUCUGCUUAAGUUUGCCACUUUGUGAGCAGAAUCAUUCUUCAUAGUAUAAGAUGAUGAAAAUGUCCAUAUCGCUUAUAACACGAUAGUACAAGUAGACACAAAAAGUGAGCAUCAACAAGUAGAACUGGUUCUUCCCUAAUAGUCUAUUCCCAGAAUCAAAGCUAAAUAUAAUAUAAGCCAAGAGAAGGUACAAACUUACAGCUCUCUCUGUUGUCCCCGGAGGACCAUCAAGUAUCUUGAUACGAGCUCUGGUCUCCUCAACUAUUUUUUUAAUGAACUCCCCUUUUCGUCCAAUUAUACUACCAACCUUCUGUGCAGGAACCAACAUCCGGAAAACACUCUCUCCAGGCCAUCCAGGCCACUUCUUUUCACCACCUCCAACCACUGCCUUAUCUUCAUGCUCAUGUUUUGGUUGAUGUGGCGAUUCCUGCUGCAAGUUCUGCUCCUCCAAGUUGUCUUCCGGAUUUUCCUCCAAGUUCAAGUUCUGCCCAAAGUCCAAGUUCUGCUCCAAGUUCACAUUCUGCUCCAGGUUCAAGUCAUACUCCAGGUUUGGAUUCUGCUCCAAGUUCUCAGGUUCUUGUGCCUGUUCCUCCUCAUGUUCAACAAAGCUUUGAUCAACUUCAGCCAUAUGCAUAUUGCUGCAGAGAAUUAAAAAGGAAAGAAAACAAGAACACAUGAAAAAUAGUACAAUGUAAAACAUUUGUUCCAAUCUGACUGUUUCUAAAGGUCAAUAAUAGCACAUUGAUAAUAGCAAAUAUUUGUGCCAAC
rnacentral:lncRNA from 1 species